rnacentral:lncRNA from 1 species
ACCAGAAAAAACUUGACUAACUAAUUUUUCUACUUGAAUUCAAAAAUCUUCUCAACUAUUAAUAUGACUUUUUUAAUUAAAGAAAUAGGAAUGUGUAUAUAUUUUUUAUUUUUAAUAUGACUUUUUAAUUUUAAUUUCACCAACUCUUACUUAAUUGACCAAAAAAAAAUAACUAAACUCGUAUUUUGUAAUAAUGUUUGAUACGUAUCUAUAACUUCAUAGGUUUUAGUUUAGGGCUUAUUUUUUGGUUUAUUGUGCCUUAAUUUUAAGUUGGUAUUUGAUGGGAGAAUUUUGUAAAAUUUUUUGGGUUUUAUUUUUGAGUUUAUUAGUAUUUGAUUAGAGGAUUUUGUUGGCUUUGAUCAUAAAUUAUACGUUUGAUAGUAGUUUUGAGGUGUUUGAUUUGUGAGUUUGAGUUCAAUAAGAAGUUUAGUUUGAGUUUUGAAUUUUAACGUUUAAAUUUGGUUUUAAUUGAUUUGAUAUGCAUAUAUCAACUUUUAACAUAUUUUUUUAGUAGGAUUAUCAAUUUUUUUUUAAUCAAAGGUAGGCAUCUUUUAUUGAUUUAGUAAGUAAAAGAAUUAGUCUAAAUAUGGACAAUAGACACGAAUAAACAAAAAAAAAGUUCCACCCAAAAUUAAAGAUUAACUAAUUAGAUACAUUUGCUGAGAAAGAAAGUUAGAGAGAAAAAUUUAUUGCACGAACACAACGAGAGGCUUCUUCUACCACCAUGGCCGAGGAGAGCUUUUGACCUUCGAAGACCAAUGAGUUUCGCGAAUUCCACAAGUUUCAAGUUAGAUAAACCGUUAAUUUCAGAUUCUCUUUCUCAUUACUAUCUUUACUAAUUUGAUUUCAAAAUUCACUCUACCGUUUCCACGGUUCAUUGAUGUGGUUCAGUACCGAAAAGUCCAUCAUCUUUCACGCUGUCUCUGUUUUAGGGCACUCCCAGAAGCAAUGGGCCAUUGAUUCCGCAAUCAAUCCACACCGAGGACAAAUCGGGUCCACUAAUGAAAUUCUAGCAUGAAGCUUCUACCUACCUGAUCCCCAUGAAAAACCUUCUAUAGAAAAUUCUUCACUUUUAAUUAAUAUUUAAGUCUCCAAAUAUUUGACCAGUUGUUUUAUUUUGGCAUUUGUGCAGGCAAGAAGUCUGACGAUGCAUGAAAGAAAUGAAAGGCUACUUUGUAUCUGGAUGCCACUGAAUAGCUACCUGAUUUUUCUUUUAGCCAGGUAAUUGCAUCUUCUUUCCCAUAGAUUUCUGUAUUUAGAAUUGCUAUAGCUACUUCUGGGCUAUAAAUUUUCUAAUCAAAACUUGAUUUCAUUGCUUAUCUUAGUGAAUUAAAUCAAAUACCCAUUUUGGAUAGUAAUUAAUGUAGGAAUUUGGAAUUGCUGUAAUUGUUGUGAACUCAUGUACCUAAGAAUCUUUCUUAUUACGAACAAUGUUACUUCUACCAAUUUUUCAUAUACACCUUUUUUCUAUCACUGUGUCCUUUAAUUAUACUUCUCUACCCCGAUGACGGAUUGUUUUCUGACUCGACUCUCAUGAAAUUGGAAUAUCUAUAGUAUUUACUCUUAUAAACCUUGCUAAUCAAUGAGUUAGGUCGAGUUAAAAGUAUCCAACCUUGCUUGGCUAGCAUUGCAAGGUUGAAGACUUUUAAGUCUUUAAAAAUGAGACUUUCCUGAUUUUUUGGUCUGCUAAAGUUUGCUGCCCUAUCUAAUGCACCCUUCUUUUCGUACCAUUUUGUCCCCACCAGAAAUUAAGCAUUGUUUUUUGUAUUUCAUCCGUCAGCGAUUCUAGUAACUUGAAGCAACUUAGAGUAUACAAAGGUAUUGCUGUGGCUACAACCUUAAUUAGGACUUCUCUUCCACUCACAAAUAAUGAUGAUCUCUUCCAAUAUUGAAGUUUUUGAAAACCUUUGUCUUUGAUGUAGUUGAAUGUGUCCCUCUUUGAUCUUGAACAACCGUUGGUAGCCUAAGAUAUUUAUUUUGAUUUCCAACAUGAGAAACUAUUAGAAUUUCAGCAAGGUGAUCACGAGUAGUGUUAGGAGUGUUAUGGCUAAAAAAGACUCAUGACUUGUCUAGAUUAACUACUUGGUCACUAAUUUCCUCAUAGUUUCUCAAAAUUCGAAUCAGAUUUAGACAAUCAUCUUCUGUGGUUUUGCUAAAUAGAAUUGAAUCAUCUGCAAAGAAUGGAUGGUUGAGCAUAGGACAUCCAUGAUUAAGUCUCAGUCCUAAAAUUUUCAGCCUCUAUUCUCUUUUGUGGAGCAGAUGAGGAAAGACUUUCUGACGCACGCAAAAAAGAAAUAGGUAAGGGGAUAACCAGAUAGAGGGUCACCUUGACACAACCCUCUACAUGGUUUAAAGAAACCAUGAGGUUGUCCAUCCACAAUAACAAAGUAAGAAACUGUAGUCACACACUCUUAAUUCAUAUCAUCUACUUUUCGCUAAUAUCCAAUUUCUUCAUCAUAGCUCAAACAAAAGUCCAUUCCACCCGAUCAUAAGCCUUACUCAUGUCAAGUUUUAGUGCCAUGUCAUAACUGCCGAACUUCUUAUUCUUCAAAAAGUGUAUAAAUUCAUGUGCAAUUAAAACAUUAUCAUUAACAAGCGUUCUUUUGGUAAACGCACUCUGAGAAUCACUGAUAAGUCUAUUCAUGACAAACUGUAAUAUGUGCACCAAACUCUUGGAUAUUAUUUUGUAAAAAAAUACUACUAAGGCUUAUAGGUAUGAUGUGCUUCAUAGUAUUGGCAUUAGGAACUUUAGGGACCAAACAAAUAUGUGUAUAAUUGAAUGCCUUGAGAAUUUUACCUCUAGAAAAAAAACUCUUUACUAUUGCUAUGACUUUCUUUAUUACGGUGUCCCAUAAAAACUAAAAGAAUUUGGCUGUAAACCCAUCAUCUUCGAGAGCAGAGAACGGGUUAAUUAAAAAAAAAUAGCAUCUUUAAUCUCCUUUUUCAACAUCAGUCUGACCAACAUUAUUUUAAUUGCUUUGUCAAUUUUUUCGGUAUUAUGUCUAGUAGUUCUUCGUCCAGGUCUUUUAAGUAUGUGGGUGUGUUGUGUAUCUAGAAUUGGAGAUUGUCCAAUCUAUUAGGGUACCUAAGAUUGAGGUUGUCCAAUCCACUGACAAAAAAACAAAAUAUACACACAUAUUUAACCAAAGAUAGGUAAGUGGGCCUUGUUUAGGGGUGGCAAGCGGGGAAGCCCGCCCCGUCUCGCCAGAAGCCCUUUUUUGGCGGGUUGGCCCGCCCCGCCCCGCCUAGUGAGGCGGUCCUAAAAUCCCACCCCGCCCUGCCUAACGGCGGGCUGGCGGGUUGGCGGGCUAAGCCCACUAAAUCUCCUCUUUUUUUUUUUUUUUACUUUUAACUAUUAUAAUUUCUAAAGACAUAAAAAAAUUAUAAUUUUUAUAUUCACAAACAUUAAAGUCUUUGUAAUUAUAAAUAUCUAAUAAACAUAAUUAUAAACCAAGUUUUCAUCCAAAACAUAAUUAUAAAUAUUGUCUCCAAAGCAAAAUAAAUAUAAUUAUAAAUAUUGUCUCCAAAACAAAAUAAACAUAAUCCAAAACACUCAAUUUUCAUCUUCAUUCUCUUGUAAAUUGGGUUGGGGGAAGUUGAAUUUUGACAAAAAAAUUACAAAAACACCCCUUGCAAAAAAAAUACUAAACCCGGCGAGGAAGCCCGUCCUGCCCUGCCAAAGCCCGCGGUUUAAGCGGUGCGGGUUAGGCGGGCUUUUACUAUUUGGCGGUCCCAAUUUUUCAGUCCGACCCGCCUUUUUUGGCGAGUUACGCGGUCCGGUCCGGCGGAUUUAGGCCCGUUUGCCACCCCUAGUUACUAGUCUUGAAGAUGUUUUCAAAGUAGCCUUGAGUAAUCUUAGCAUUUCCUUCCAAGUCUGAGACUGAAUUACCUUGUUCAUCUUCCAAUGUAUGAAUUUUAUUUUUUCUAUUCUUUGCUUGACACUUGGAAUGAAAAAACUUUGUGUUUCUAUUCCCCCAUUGAAGCCAUUGAAUUCUAGAUUUUUCCUUUCAAAUCUCUCCUCUUGAAUCAACACUUCCUAUAACACUUCUUCAAGAACCCGAACCUCCACUCCAUUAGCAUUGUCUCCUUUAUCCAACUCGAUUGCUAAUUUGUCUUUAGCAUUAACAAUUUGGACUUGGGAGUUAGACGUAUAGUUUUUCUGCCAUUUCACUAUCUUAUACCUACACUUCUUCACCUUACUAGCAAGUUGAAAUAUCAGGGAUUCUAUUUUCUCUUGGUUCAAUGCUUGUUUAAUUAUCUCCACCACUUCUUCAUUCUCACACCAUCUUUUUUAAAAGCGAAAUCUCCUUUUGACCUUACGCUGCUCCUUAUGCGCACUAAGUAAUAGAGGUUUAUGGCCGGACCCCAUAUUAGUUAAGUGCAUCACAUAGGAAUUAGGAAACUCCUAUCUGUAAGCAUUCAUAGUGAGAACUCUGUUCAUCAGCCUUUCCCGAAUGUAAUUUUUUCAAAUUGUCUAUUAUUCCAGAUAAAAAUCUCUCCUUCAAACCCCAAAUCCACCAGCCUUCCAGAAUCCAUGAAGUCAUUAAAGCUGGCUGAUAAACUCCAAUUUUGUGGUUUAUCUUGAGCUUAAUUUGGGAGACUUUAUCAACUUUUCUCACAUUUAUUCAAUGAAAUAGCAUGGUUUUGUGAAUCUCUCCUAAUUUGUGCUUAAGUGUGAAAACAUGCUUUUUAGGUCUUUAAUUUGCUAAUUUUAAUUUACUUUAAUUCUAUUCGAUGCCUUGAUGUGUUUGUUGAGUGAUUUUAGGUUCAUAAGGCAAGUAUUGGAUGGAAGAAGUGAAGAAAAAAGCAUGCAAAGUAGAGAAUUCAUGCAAAAACAAGGAUUUGGAGUGUAUACAUCGACACGCACGCGUGACAGACGCGCACGCGUGAAGAUGAGGUCGUCCAAGCGACGCGUACGCGUGAGAAGAAAAAGGCUAGACGACGCGUACGCGUGGCCCAUGCGUACGCGUCACAGCAGGCACGUGACCUCAUUAAAGUGAAUUCGCUGGGGGCAAUUUCUGAGCUUCCCAUGCCCAAAUCCAACUCAUUCUUGAGGCUAUUUGAUGCAGAAUUCAAGAUUGGACAAAGGGGGAGCAAUUAAUUUUAGGUUAGCACCAUGUAGGUUAGUUUUCUAGAGAGAGAAGCUCCCUCUUCUCUCUAGAAUUAGGGUUCUUAGGUUAAUUUCCAUCUUAGAUCUAGGUUUAAUUUAUUGUUCUCUUCUUAUUUUCUUUACAAUUUCUUAUUCCUAUAUCUUUGUUCUCUUAAGUUUUCUUGUUAAUUUCUCCUUUGAGCCUCUUGAGCACUCUUGUUAAUUUCCAUUUUCAUUUAAUGCAAUUUUAUGUCUGAUAUUCUUUUAUUGUUGAUUUGAGUUGUUAUUGUUAUUCUCUUGCAAUUGGUAGUUGUAGAAUUUAUCUUUCCUUGCAAUUUAUGAUGCUUUCUUUUUAUGCCUUCCAAGUGUUUGACAAAAUGCUUGGUUGGAUGUUAGAGUAGCUUUUUGAGCAUUCUUGGUUUGGAAAGAGGAAUUAGGCAAUCUUGAGUCAUGAAUACUCAACUUAUGUUGGUGAUCUAGAGUUGUUAGUUAAUAUUGUUUCCAUUGACGCUAAUUUUUUGCUAAUUCAAUUAGUAAGUUGAUUAGGACUUUUAGAUUAAGAUUAACUAGUCUUAUUUGACUUUCUCUCGUGUGAAGAUAACAUCGUACCUUCUUCCAUUGUUGGAGAUGACUAAAUAGGAUAUGCUCUUGUUAAUUAUUGUUAUGAUUAGUGACUAGGAAAGAAAGCCUAUAUUCUCAAUCAUUGCCAUGAAUGUCUCUCUUUAUCACUUGCUUUCUUUAGUUGCUUGCUUUAUUUUCUUGCCAUUUAUUUUCUUGCCCUUUUACCAAAUCAAACCCCCUUGUUCCUCCAUAGCCAAUAAUUGAUCACUUCAUUGCAAUUCCUUGUGAGACGACCCGAGGUUUGAAUACUUCGGUUAAUUUUUAUUGGGUUUGUACUUGUGACAACCAAUUAUUAAAACUUUGAUUGAGCAUUGCUUGUCGGUUGGAAACUAUACUUGCAACGAAGUUAUUUCCUCUAACCGAGAAGAAAUUAUUUGCUGACGGUUUUACUCUUUCAAGUUUUUGGCGCCGUUGCUAGGGAGGUUUAAGUGUGGGGAUGUUUGAUAAACCCCAAUUUUCUGGUUUAUCUUGAGCUUAAUUUGGGGGAUUUUAUCAACUUUUCUCACAUUUAUUCAAUAAAAUAGCAUGGUUUUGUGAAUCUCUCCUAAUUUGUGCUUAAGUGUGAAAACAUGCUUCUUAAACCUUUAAUUUGCUAAUUUUAAUUUACUUUAAUUUCAUUCGAUGCCUUGAUGUGUUUGUUGAGUGAUUUCAGGUUCAUAAGACAUGUAUUGGAUGGAAGAAGUGAAGAGAAAAGCAUGCAAAGUGGAGAAUUCAUGGAAAAACAAGGAUUUGGAGUGUAUACAUCGACGCGCACGCAUGACAGAUGCGCACGCGUGAAGAUGAGGUCGUCCAGGCGACGCGUACGCGUGACAUGACAUGUACGUGUGAAAAGAAAAAGGCCAAAAGACACGUACGCGUCACAGCAGGCACGCGACCUCAUUAAAUUGAAUUCGCUGGGGCGAUUUCUGAACUUCCCAUGCCCAAAUCCAACUUAUUUCUGAGGCUAUUUGAUGCAAAAUUCAAGAUUGGACAAAGGAGGAGCAAUUAGUUUUAGGUUAGCAUCAUGUAGGUUAGUUUUCUAAAGAGAGAAGCUCCCUCUUCUCUCUAGAAUUAGGGUUCUUAUUAGGUUAAUUUUCAUCUUAGAUCUAGGUUUAAUUUCUUGUUUUCAUCUUGUUUUCUUUACAAUUUAUAUUUCUAGCACUUUAAUUCUCUUAGUCUCUCUUGCUAUUUCCUUUAUUUUGCCUCUUUUAGUUUAUGAACACCCUUUGUUGGAUUUGGAUUUCCUUUAAUGCAAUUUGAUGUUUGAUGUUCUUUUAUUUUUUAUUUGAGUUGUUAUUGUUAAUUUCUUACAUUGGAUAGUUGUAGAAUUUAUAUUUCUUGCAAUUUUAUUAUGUUUUUCUUUUAUGCCUUCCAAGAUUUGACAAAAUGCUUGGUUGGAUGUUAGAGUAACUUUUUGAGCAUUCUUGGCUUGGAAAGAGGAAUUAAGCAAUCUUGAGUCAUUAAUACCCAACUCAUGUUGGUGAUCUAGAGUUGUUAGUUAAUAUUAUUUUCAUUGACGCUAAUCUUUUGUUAAUUUAAUUAGUGAGUUGAUUAGGACUUUUGGAUUGAGAUUAACUAGUCUUAUUUAACUUUCUCUCGUGUGAAGAUAAUAUUGUACCUUCUUCCAUUGUUGGAGAUGACUAAAUAGAAUAAGCUCUUGAUAAUUAUUGUUAUGAUUAGUGACUAAGAUAGAAGGCAUAUAUUCUUAAUCAUUGCCAUGAAUGUCUCUCUUUAUUAAUUGCUUUCUUUAAUUGUUUGCUUUAUUUUCUUGCCCAUUUUAUCAAAUCAAACCCCCCUUGUUCCUUCAUAGCCAAUAAUUGAUCACUUCAUUGCAAUUCCUUAUGAGACGACCUGAGGUUUGAAUACUUCAGUUAAUUUUUAUUGGGGUUUGUACCUGUGAUAACCACUAUUAGAACUUUGAUUGAGCAUUACUUAUUAGUUUGGAACUAUACUUGCAACGAAGUUAUUUCCUCUAACCGAGAAGAAAUUCUUAGCCGACAAAAAUACUCUAUCACUGGCUAUUGAUGAAGCCGACUUUUCCCUCCCUCUUUCCUUCUCAUAGUGAGCUUUAAUUACAUUGAAAUCUUCCAUCACUAUCAUCUUCUCGUCCUUUCAUUAGGUGUAGUAUUCUCGAGAACUGUUCCUCCUUUUGUGCCUCUUCUAAGUGCAAAUAAAUCCCAUUAUCUCACAUUUUUUACUUUGUUGCUCAUGACUUGCGGUGAAAUGAAUUAAAUAGUAUUCAUAGUUGAGUAUAUGCACAUCUAAGAACUCCCUCCAAGCUACUAUUAAACCUCUCGAUUGACCUAUAGGAUCAACAGUAAAUACUGACUGAAAGCCGAUUCUCCAAAGCACCUACUUUACCUUUGAGUUGUUAUUUUUUGUCUCACAAAGGAACAACAUCUCGGGGAAUGGGAUUCAAUAAUCCCUUCCAUGUUGUGAACUGUCAGGGAUUUUUUCAAAUCCCAACAAUUCCACGCGAACAUCUUCAUGCCUUUUGGGGUGCCAAUGUAAAGGUGGCACCCUCUCCCUUUUCAGCAACUUCUAAUCUCUCUUGGCACUAUUUUUUAGUUACAGUACUAUCUCCAUUUCUUUCUAAAUGUCUUUUCACUCCCAUUAUUGCUUUACCCAAGAGUCUCUUCCUUGCUAUUUGCUUCAUGUUAUGUUUUCUCAUCCCCUUUUUUCUCUUCGGUUCCUCCAUAACACCUAAUGAGAAGGUAUCAACGAAGCUGGAUAAAUGAAAUGGUUCUCCUAUUCUUUUAUGAUUCUGACCAGCUUCCUCUAUCUCCUUCAUCACUGCUCCUUCACAUUUGCUUUUCUCUGCCUAAACCUCUCUGUCUUGGCCAUUCUGAAUUUUCUCCACAGUUUUCUUUAUCAGUGAAUUGUCAUCUUAUACCGAAAGGUUAGUAAAACCGCGUAUUAGGCAAACCAGGUUGGUAGGCUCGUUGACCUCUGGACAUCUUUGUCAGCCUAACUUUUCUAAUUGCGGAUUGAUUUCUUUUUUGCUCAUUCAUCCUCCUCCUGAAUUGUUCCGCUCUCAACCACGACCCCCAAAGUUCCUCCCUUGUGUUCCCAACUUCCGUGUCCUCCAAAUACCCCCGCACGCCCUUAAUUCAUGCCCAAUACUUCCACAAUAAUGGCAGAAAUUUCGUAUCGUCUCAUAUUUUUGAGCUGUAUUUUGAUCACCUUGUUAUUACUUUCUAAAAUUUUUAGAAAUCGACAAAGUGUCUUGGUCAUGUCCAUCAUGACUUGAAUCCUAAUGAUGUGAUUCUCCUGGUUUCUUAUAGUAAACAAGUCUACAUCCAAAACUUCUUCAGUUGCUCCACCUACUCUCCUUCCUAAAGCCUUUGUUUUAUAAUACUCUGGUAGUUCCUAUAAUUGGAUCCAUAUAAGGACAUGUGCAAAGUCUUUUUCAUCAAUGAGGUUAUCCUUACACCAUCUUUUAAGAUUCAGGUUAUCCACCUGAAUCAAAUUUAGUUUUUUUUUGGAAGAAGAAAUAAAAGAUACUGCCUUACAAAUCUACAAAUUUCAGACCCUCUAAUUAUUUUCAAAUAGUAUAGAACACUGCCUUCCAAGUCUACAAUUUUAUUUUAGACCCUCUAAUUGUCUCCAAAUAAUGUAGAACACUGGCUCCGUUGUAUCGGUGCCGACUUUUCUAUCUGCCAUUAAUCUUUCCACUAAAUUAUUAGCGCACUUUUCGAUUCUUUCACUCACAUUCUCAUCUUUAAAUUGUACCAUCCGAUUUUCUUCAUCCUCCAAAGUUACUUUGUCUCGUUUUCUAUCAAUAGUAGAAUUAUCAAUUAUUAAAAUAGUUAAAUAUUUUAUGAUAAAAUAAUUGCACGUUUUAUGGCAAAGCAAUAUCAAAUUUUUCCGGAUGUUUAUAGAAUAAUAUCAAUUUUUUUUAUGGUAGAAUAAUUAAACAUGUUUAUAGCAUAAUAUUAAACUUUGCACCAUACAAAAUAUCAAUAUCAAUCUUCGCUAUAUUUUAUAUUUUAUUUAACAUUUUUUAUUAUAAAAGUGAAUUGAUUAUAUUAUUUUCAAAUGUUGAUUAUCAUUAUAAUUUGUCACAAACAUUUAGGCUGCGUUUGUUUCCGAGAAUAGGAUAGGAUAAGACAUUGAGAACAGGACAGGAUAAGACACUGAUGGACAGAGACACAAAAUUUUGUGUUUUUGUAUUCCGUUUGGCGAUAAACUAGAAUAAAUUAUGAAAAUCCAAUUUAUUCUCAUUUUUCUCAUUCAAAAAAUUUGAGAUGAAAAAUAUAAUAAUAAAAAAUAUAAUUAUAAAAAAUUAACAAGAAUAAUGAGAGAAAAAAUAAAAAAUAAGUUGUAUCCCUUGUUAAUCUCUGUGUCCUUCUUGUCAGGAUAGACACAAAAUAUAUUAAUUUAGUGUCUCUAGACACAUUGUCUUUGUCCAUGUCUCUUCUGCCAAACACGAUUUUGUGUCUCUGUGUCCCUAUCUCAGUGUUCUGUCUCUAUAAACAAACGCAGCCUUAAAGUUUUAUUAUUAUAAUUUAAAAAAAAAUAAAAAACCAAUAGCAGANNNNNNNNNNNNNNUUUAUUCCGAUAAAGUAUUUGAUUCUUUUAAUCAAUAUAAUAAUAUAGUUUAUUUAACCAUGAGAUGUGAAGUGGUGACCGGGUUAACUCACCAUGUGGUCAAGGGCUCAACUUUCAUCCAUACAAAUACAAAUAAAACACGUCUCAAUAUCAUGGAAAUAGAUUCUCUUAUUUAUUUUCUUUCCUUGAUUGAUAUGGUAAAGUGCAAUUUUUCAUUAUAUAUUUUUUAAAUAGAACAAAAAUUAUGUGAAAAAAUAUUAAAUUAUAAAAAGUUAUACUUAAAAAUAUUAAUUAAUGAAAAUUAAAAGAAUUCAUACUCCCAAAUUUUUUAUCGCAAGUACUCUGAGAAGGGUAAAGAAUUUGGCAACGGAUGCACAUGGUUGAUUCGAAUCAGUCUCUGCCAGCGCAAAGGUAUUUGGGAGGUAAAAUGGUAUAAUGGACCUCAUACUUGUCUAGCCACGUCGAUAUCGAGUGAUCACAUGAUGCUUGAUUACCAUGUGAUGACGGCCUACAUACUUCCUAUUAUUAGAGUUGAUGUUGUCGUGUCGGUCAAGGUACUGCUGAAUGCGACAGAAGACUAGGUGUGCAGAUGACGAUGUCGGGUAGUGUUGCUGUGUUGAGGACAAGUCCUGUUCGAGGGAGUGGGCAAGUCAAUGAGUCGCAUGUUUAUUUCCAUCGUCUUUUUGGACAAUCCCACCAUGUAUCGAGGCUUUCCGACAUUGUAAGUCGUUGGUUAGUGUCGACAGGACUCACUCAGUCUGCAAUGCACGACUCGAGAUCCCUCUCGCUUGAUGUUGGCUGAUAACAUGACCACCUGCGACCCAAUACAUGUAUCCACAACAGGCAUAAAUUAUAAAAAUAAUGACACACAGAAUAAGUAUUAAUGUUGAGUACCUCAAAGCCAACGAGAGGCAUCAAACCCCUCAGGCCUAAAAUCCGAAAACCGCCAAAAGAUCCAUGACUAGAGGAGCUGCAAUGAAUCGGCCAACUUAACCACGUGCUUGUGGCACAAGCACCGGUAUAACCACGAUAUAGCAGCGGACUCCCAGCUGUAAAUGCUCAUGUCCUCUAAUCUUGCUACAUAGGAUAACCACCUAAUAUGCAUGUGUGUACUGGAUUUGUCACCAAAAAGUUGCAUCGAUAAUAGUAUCAUGAUAUACGCUCUCGUGUACCUCCUAACUGUCUCCUCGUUUGCGCCUUCGGGAAUUUCACAGUGAACUUGUCGAUGCAGCCCGCUGGCGGCAACACACCCAAUAACUCCUCGAACCAUGACCAUGUUGGACAGCCGCCGUCGAUGUACCGCUCGAAGUCUGUCAGACAUCCGCUGACGUACUAUCCAUCGAUGGGAAACCCCCAGCUGGUAUGCUACAUCCUAUAGCGUAAUCAUACACUCCCUGAAUGGUAGGUGAAAUAUAGGCGUCUCCGGAUGCCAUCUCUCAACAAAUGUACUUACUAAUGGCUCAUCCAACCUAAACCAUUAACCGUUGAGCCUCGCGAGAUGGGGCAAGUCAGCCAUCUACAGAUACAACAUGAUCUUAUCGUCUAAUGGUAUACCAUGCUGCCUCCUCAUGCUUGGGAUACAUCGAUGGGGCUGCAUGACAAUGAAAUAAUUCUCUUAGAACCAUAACACUUUAGAAAUAAAAAAUCACCUAGAACAGAUAAUUCUAAUAAAAAAAUACUUUGACAAAAAUUAAAUUAAAUUCUAUCGGAACAUAGUUAACCUAGUAUAUCCGACGAAACACUAAACUCUUUAGUUUAUAACUAAAGUUGUAGUGCCUCGUUAAUCUAACAUUUAAUAAUUCAAUUUUUUAAAUAAAUUAAAUCAUUCUAAAUUAUUGUUAAUAUUCUAUUACCUAAUUGACCCAACACUUGAAAUUCAAAUCAAUUUAAAUCAAAUUAAACUCCAACAAAAUUUCUAACCUCGUUACACGUCUAACAAUAAAAACUUACAAACUCUAACUAAACCUAUUAAAUCUACAAUUCAACAUGCUUAGUUACCCCUCAUCCAACAUGCAUUUGUAAUUUCAAUCUUCUAACACACUAUUACCCCUAAAUCAAUACUUUGACUACUAUUUGAAGUUUAUAGAUUCUAAUAAUUCUAAUAAUCAAGUUUUCAGCCAUUUAAUAUCACUAACAAUUCUUUAUUUCUUAAAGAAAAUAAAAAAAUAAAUUUCAUUUACUAACCUCUUCAUACACACUACUAGCAAUAUGGGCGACUCCGUCCAACUGAUAGAUUCGAUUUGGGUCAUUUUUCAUUUCCGCAGUGUCACUCUUCUAGUAUAGAUUGUCUCAGUUUCUCUGAAUUUUUUGUUUUGGUGGGGUAUGAUGUGGUGAAAUGUAAUUUAAAACAAGUGAAUUCGAAUUCUAUAUAUAUGGGUUUCCGUGUAAAUAGAAUCAAGGUGUGUAGAUUUAUAUUGGAAGCACGAACAUGCAUAAAUUGAAUCAGAGUGUGUCAAUUUAUUAUGUGCAAAAACCGUGGACUAAAUCGAAGUAAGCUGUAUCGAUUUACUAUCGGUGAUGUCAAACCAUGUGCAUUUCUUAGUAAAUCAACUCUACUUAAUUUGAUUUACAUGAAACCCUAAUAAUUCGAUACAAGGUAAUUCGAUUUACUACUAUAAUUCGAUUUAUAUAGAAAUGUGCAUGGAGACAUCCACGUAACAUUUUCUAUUUUAGGUGAUUCAUGUAAAAUUGAGUUGCCUUUGGUUUAUAUAAGUGUUUUACCGUAUUCUUUUGCACUAUAACCAUCAUACUUAUUAGUCAUUAUGAUUGUUCUGGUUCUUGAUUAGGUUCAUAUAUGAGGACUGAUCCAUGCCUCUCUCUAGAGUAAAGUUAUAAUUUCUUUAUUAUUAGGAUGAGAAAUGUUAUCAAGCACCUAAUAAAAAAGAUGAAUUAUAGUCACAAUUUUUUGUGAAGUAUUUUUUUUUUCAUCUAAAAGUUCAAAAUUGAUACGAUUCUGUUGUUCUGUUUUAUGCGAAUAUUUUUAUCAAGAUAGAUUUGAAUGCUUUGCUUUCUUUAGCCGUUAUCAAAAGUUACAUUAACAACAUUAGCCAGUGAUGUAAAAAUCUCCUUGAUAAAUGAGUGAAUUCAUUGUAGGAAUGAGGAAAAUUUGAUAUAUUCUUCACAUUGUUUACACCUUAAAUUUUGAUUAGUAUGAAAAUAGAAAGUUGAGCAUAUAUUUUUAGUUAACAUUUUGUUUAGUUAUUUCGAUGUCUUCUGUACUUUUUUUAAGAGAUUUUAUUCGGUAUUACAUAUAAUGGAUAAAUUGCACCCUAUUUUGAUUUAUGUUGUUUGAACUAAAAACAUAUCUAAUUUAUAAUUUAAAGGGUAAAGUACUAAAUUGGUCCCUAGGUUUGGACGUAAUUCUAUUUUGGUCCUUAAGGUUUAAAGUAUUCUAUUUGAAUCCAAAAAAGUUUUAUUUAGCAUCAAUUUAGUCCCACAGUGAGGUCAAAAUUAAAUAAUUAACAAAAUGUCCUACAUAACAACAGUACAAAAACAAAAUCGAUAAUCUGGAGAACAAGUACAAGCUCCAAAGGCAUAAAAUCAACCAUUGAUACAUCAAUAUAUUUAUUUAUUAUUUUUUUUAUAAUAUAAAUAAAAUCUUUUCUAUAAAACUAAAGAAAAUGAUAAAUAAAUGUAUUGAUGCAUCAAUGGUUGAUUUUGUGCCUCUGGAGCUUGUACUUGUUCUCUAGAUUAUCGAUUUUGUUCUUGAAAUGUUGUUAUGUAGGACAUUUUGUUAAUUGUUUAAUUUUGACCUCACUGCGGGACUAAAUUGAUGCUAAAUGAAACUUUUUUGGAUUCAAAUAGAACACUUUAAACCUUAAGGACCAAAACAGAAUUACGCCCAAACCUAGGGGACCAAUUUAGUACUUUACCCUAAUUUAAAUUUUAUAAUUUAGAUUUCUUGAAUUUCUCCUUUUUAGACUUAUUUUGUGAUUAUCAUAAUUUUGGGAUGUAAUUAUGCUUUAAAAAAAUAAAUCUUAGAAAACAGAAUAAGCUAUGGUCACGGUUUAAAAUAGGGUGACCGUAGAUAAGCUAUGUAACGGUGAGAAUUUAUGCCGAUUCGAAAUUUCUCAAUAGAAAUAGAAUUGUUUCGUUGCAAGUAUAGUUCAAAUCGGCAAUUUAUCCUCACAAUCAAAGUUUAAUUUGUUUGUCACAAUACAAACUAAUAUUAACUGAGAGUAUUUAAACAUCGGGUCCCCUCUCAAAGAAAUUGCAGUGAGGUAUGCAUGUUAUCAGUUAUGAGUAUACGGGGGUGGUUUGUGGAUAGAGGAGCGAGAGAGUAAAUGACAAGAAAGUAAAGCUAACAACUAAGGAAGUAUAAAUGCUAAGAGACACUCCUAGCAAGGAUUGGUAAUCAAGGAUUCGUUUUCAAGUCAUUGAUCACGAAUAUGAUGAUUGCCCAGAGUUAAUCCGAUUUAGUCAUCUCCAACAUCGGGAGAAAGUUAAAUAGGCAUAGUCAGUCUUAAUCCGUAGGUCUUACUCGUCAAUGAAAAUAAGAACAACUAACAAUCCUAGAUCACUAAUCAAUAUUGAACAUCAAAGACUCUUGCAUCACUAACCACGACAUGACAAUUAUGAGAGCAAACCAAAUUCAUCAACCUCUAAUGAUGAGAUAUGUCAAUCGGGCUUAAUCAAUCUCAAUUCAUUGGUCUUACUCAUUAAUGGAAAUGAGAUUAAUUAAGAUCUCCAAAUUGUCAAUCAACUCAGACAUUGGUGAAAUCAAGGUCACCUAAACUACUCAAUUCCAAGGCAAGAGUGUAGAAAUCUAUCCUAGAAUUAAAAAAGACACUUCUACAAAUACUUGGAAGGCAUAAAGUAAAAGCAUGGUAAAAUUGUAAAUAAUAAUAAAAUCUAAAACUACUAAAUGCAAGAUAACAAUAUUAACAACUUAAUUAAACAUCAAUGAGCAUGAAAACAUCAAAUUGCAUUAAUAUAAAUCAAAACUAACAAGAGUUCAUAAACUAAAAGGAGCAUAAUUAAGAAAUGAACAAGGUAAACUAAGAGAGUCAAGGCAAUUAAACAAGGAAAACAAUUGAAACUAUAUCAAGACAAGAAAUAAAACCUAAAUCUAAGAGAGAUUAACCUAAAUCUACCCUAAUUCUAGAGAGAAGAGAGAGCUUCUCUCUCUAAAAUAUAACCUAAAACAUGAUACUAAACUAAACCUAAUUGCUCUCUCCUUAUUCCUUCUUGAAUUUGGUCUCAAAUAUUUCAGAAAUGAGUUGGAGUUGAACUUGAAGAGGUCUAGAAAUUGCCAGCCACUUUUUUCUUAAGUGAAUCACGUGCCUUAAGUCAUGCGUACGCACAACAUGGUGAAUUCCCAAAUCAUGCGUACACGCAAGGCAUGCGUACACAUGACCAUGAAUUACUCCAAAUCCUCAUUUCUUCAUGAAUUCUCCACUUUGCAUGCUUUUUUCUUCACUUCUUCAAUUUAAUCUUUGCCUUCUAAGACUGAAAUCACUUAACAUAUUUUAUUUAAAGUAAAUUUUAUUUAGCAAAUUAAAUGCCUAAAAAGCAUGUUUUCCCCUUAAGCACAAAUUAGGAGAGAUUCACAAAACCAUGUUAUUUCAUUGAGUAAAUGUAGGAAAAGUUGAUAAAAUCCACAAAAUUCAAUACAAGAUAAAUCAUAAAAUUGUGGUUUAUCACUAUGAUCACGCUAAAAUCGUUACAAUGGAUAAGGUUAUGGUCACGAUUUUUUAAAAGGAUGACUAUAGAGUAAGCAAUGGUCACAAUUUUUCAAAAGGGUAAUUGCUAUGGUCACAAUUUUUCAAAAGGGUGACCAUAGAGUAAGCUAUAGUCACGGUUUUAAAAUAGGGUGAUCAUAGAUAAGCUAUAGUCACACUAAAACCGUUAUCAUAGAUAAGGCUAUGAUCACGAUUUUUUAAAAAGGUAACCAUGGAGUGAGCUAUGGUCAUGGUUUUAAAAUAGGGUAACCAUAGAUACACGAUGGUCAUGCUAAAACUAUGACCAUAGAUCAGCCUAUGGUCACGGUUUCACAAAAGAGUGACCAUAGAGUAAGCUAUGAUCACAAUUUAAAAUAGGGGUGACCUUAGAGUAGGAUGUGGUCAUGGUUUUAAAAUAGAGUGAUCAUAGAUAUGCUAUGGUGAUGAGCGGAUAAUUUAUACGCUUUUUGGCAUUGUUUUUAGAUAGUUUUUAGUAGGAUCUAGCUACUUUUUAGUAUAUUUUUAUUAGUUUUAAAGCAAAAUUUAUAUUUCUGGACUUUACUAUGAGUUUGUGUAUUUUUCUGUGAUUUCAGGUAUUUUCUGGCUGAAAUUGAGGGACCUGAGCAAAAAUCUGAUUCAGAUGCUGAAGAAGGACUGCAGAUGCUAUUGGAUUCUGACCUCCCUACACUCGAAAUAGAUUUUUUGGAGCUACAAAAACCCAAAUGGUGCGCUCUCAAUUGCGUUGGAAAGUAGACAUCUAGGGCUUUCCAGCAAUAUAUAAUAGCUCAUACUUUGCCUGAGUUUAGAUGACACAAAUUGGUGUUCAACGACAGCUUUCUGCCCUAUUUUGGUGUUAAACGCCAGAAACAAAUUGCAAGCUAGAGUCAAACGCCAGAAACAAGUUACAAACUGGUGUUUAACUCCAAAGAAGGCCUCUACACGUGAAAGCUUCAAUGCUCAGCCCAAGCACAUACCAAGUGGGCCCGGAAAUGGAUUUCUGCAUCAUUUACUUAUUUCUGUAACCCUAGUAACUAGUUUAGUAUAAAUAGAACUUUUUACUAUUGUAUUAGACAUCUUGGAUACUGGGAUCAUCUUUUGAUCAUCCUUGAUCUUGGGAUCAGAUCUUUUUCCCUAUUUUUGAAUUCAUAUGCCAUUUGGGGAGGCUGGCCAUUCGGCCAUGCCUAGACCUUGUUCUUAUGUAUUUUCAACGGUGGAGUUUCUACACACUAUAGAUUAAGGUGUGGAGCUCUGCUGUUCCUUGAGUAUUAAUGCAAAGUACUAUUGUUCUUCUAUUCAAUUCAUGCUUAUUCUUAUUCUAAGAUAUUCAUUCGCCCACAAGAACAUGAUGAAUGUGAUGAUUAUGUGACACUCAUCACCAUUCUCACUUAUGAACGCGUGACUGAUAACCACUUCCGUUCUACAUGAAAACAAGCUUGAAUAUAUAUCUCUUGGGUUUCUAAUCAACGAUUCACAUCGACUCCCCUCUGACAAUAGGGCAUAUGAAUCCGAGAUUAGAAUCUUCGUGGUAUAGGCUAGAAUCCAUUGGUAGCAUUCCUGAGAUCCGGAAAGUCUAAACCUUGUCUGUGGUAUUCCGAGUAGGAUCUGGGAUGGGAUGAAUGUGACGAGCUUCAAACUCGCGACUGUAGGGCGUGGUGACAGACGCAAAAGGAUAGUAAAUCCUAUUCCUACACGAUCGAGAACCAACAGCUGAUUAGCCAUACGAUACCUGUGCAUGGUAUUUUUCAUCCAAGACGAGAAAUUCGACAGUUAAUUAGCCGUACAGAAACCGUAGAGGACCAUUUUCCCUGAGAGGAUGGGAAGUAGCCAUUGAAAACGGUGACACCCAACAUACAGCUUGCCAUAGAAAGAAGUAUGAAGGAUUAGAUGAAGGCAAUAGGAAAGCAGAGAUUCAGAAAGAACAACGCAUCUCCAUACACUUAUCUGAAAUUCCCACCAAUGAAUUGCAUAAGUAUCUCUAUCUUUAUUUUAUGUUUUAUUUAUCUUUUAAUUAUCAAAACUCUAUAACCAUUUGAAUUCGCCUGACUGAGAUUUACAAGAUGACCACAACUUGCUUCAACCCGACAAUCUCCGUGGAAUCGACCCUUACUCACGUAAGGUUUAUUACUUGGACGACCCAGUGCAUUUGCUGGUUAGUUGUGCGACGUUGUGAAAAAGAGUUGAGAUUACAAUUGUGCGUACCAAGUUGUUGGCCCCAUUGAGAUCACAAUUUCGUGCACCAUAUGGUCACACUAAAAUCGUGAUCAUAGACCAGCUUAUUAUCACGGUUUUACAAAAGAGUGACCAUAGAAUAAGCUACGGUCACAGUUUAAAAUAGAGGUGACCAUAAAAUAGGUUAUGUUCACGGUUUUAAAAUAGGGUGACUAUAGAUAAGCUAUAGUUACAUUAAAACCGUGACCAUAGAUUAGGCUAUGGUCACGGUUUUAUAAAAGAGUGACCAUAGAGCAAGUUAUGGUCACGGUUUUUACGCCUGAACAUAGAAUAACCUAUGGUCACGGUAAAAAAACGUGGUCUGAAGUAUCAGAAUUUAAACACUGCAACAGUGACCAUAGAAACCAUGAUUAUAGAUAAAAAAAUCAUGUUAACAGAUCUAUGGCCACGGCAAAAUAAGCCACGGUGGAAAAAUCAUGACCUUAGGUCAAAAACUGUGACAAUAGAUCUAUAGUCACCAUUUCACUAACUAUGAUCACAGUUCUUCACUAUGAUCAUAAACUUUUUUUUUGUAAUAUAAUUAAACCUAAUUCUAAAUGUGACAUACUUUUAUAAUUUCGAUAUAUAGCCCUAACCUAAUAUCAUUUUAGGGUAACACAAUUUUAUUUAUUCAAAAUACACAGAUUCAGAAUAUGUAUAUUAAAUAUUAUUAUUUGAAUAUUUUCCAUCACNNNNNNNNNNNNNNNNNNNNNNNNNNNNNNNNNNNNNNNNNNNNNNNNNNNNNNNNNNNNNNNNNNNNNNNNNNNNNNNNNNNNNNNNNNNNNNNNNNNNNNNNNNNNNNNNNNNNNNNNNNNNNNNNNNNNNNNNNNNNNNNNNNNNNNNNNNNNNNNNNNNNNNNNNNNNNNNNNNNNNNNNNNNNNNNNNNNNNNNNNNNNNNNNNNNNNNNNNNNNNNNNNNNNNNNNNNNNNNNNNNNNNNNNNNNNNNNNNNNNNNNNNNNNNNNNNNNNNNNNNNNNNNNNNNNNNNNNNNNNNNNNNNNNNNNNNNNNNNNNNNNNNNNNNNNNNNNNNNNNNNNNNNNNNNNNNNNNNNNNNNNNNNNNNNNNNNNNNNNNNNNNNNNNNNNNNNNNNNNNNNNNNNNNNNNNNNNNNNNNNNNNNNNNNNNNNNNNNNNNNNNNNNNNNNNNNNNNNNCCAUCACAUUAUAAAUUUUUUAUAACAUUUUUUUUAGUAUUUUUUAUCAGCAUUCGUCGAGUCUAGAGUAUAUUGCGAUCUUAAUGGACUAAUCGAUGUUGAGUCCUUUUAAAUUGUGUUAUUAUAGACUAUCUAAAAAUAAUAUAGUUAUAGACACAAUGACAUGUGGCUGAGACUUGUAUACUAGUGACAAAGUUGUUUGUCUCCGUUAGUACAAAACUCGACACGAUGUACAAUUCGAUCAUGAUGAAAUAAAAUGUCGAUUACAUCAUGUGUGAGAUGAGUCAAAGAAGGGUUUAGGUCGAAAUUUUAUUAACACGUGGGUUAAUUCAUUAAUGCAUGGUAAAUAAAAAGAGAAUUUUUUAAAUAAAUAAAAUAAAUAUCUUAUUUACCAAAAUAUGUAAUUUGUAGUAUUUUUACCAAAAUACAUAUUAUUUCUUAUCUCGUUUACAGUGUAAACGAAAUAAGAGUACAUGUAUCUCGUUUACACUGUAAACAAGAUAAUAUGGCCACGUUGUAAGGUCCCACAUCGGUUGGAGAGAGGAAUGAAGCAUGCCUUAUAAGGGUGUGGAUACCUCUCCCUAGCAUGACGCGUUUUGACGAGUGAGUGUGGGGGAUUUCGGCUAUCAUCCCUAUCGUCAAAAGCAAAACCGUGAGGCCUUGUGUGCCAAACCGGACAAUAUCAUGCUAGCGGGUGGUCUGGGCUAUUACACACGUCAUUCAGUGCUUUAUCGCGUUUACAGUAUAAACGAAAUACGUAUACUCUUAUUUUGUUUACACUGUAAACAAGAUAAGAGUGAAGGAAACCUAUAUAUAUGUAUUUCGUCCACAAUGCCUCUUUAAUCCUUAUCACAUUCAUUUCUUCAACUUUUUCUCCAUUUUUAUCCUUUUCUAAUCAAAUUUCGAGUUACUACAAGAUUAUGGUGUGCGCUUAUGCAUAUCAUGCAAACAUCAAUUGACUGAAUGCGACAUGGCACAUCACAAGAGCAGUCGAUUUUGAGGUUGGUAUUGUUUUUAUUUUAUGUUUAUGAUAAAGCUUACAUGUGUAGCCAUAUUUAGGGUACUUUUAUAGAAUUAUUAUGUAGUAUACAUUAGGCGAAUGAAUAUAUUGUUAGCAAUGGUUUAAAUGAUAGGGUAUGAUUUUAUGCAUACUUUGACUUGGAUUUGUUAGUUAAAUGUUUAUUUAGGUUUGUUUUUCUUUAAAUUAAGUUAUUAAGCAUAUGUUUAUUAACUUAGUUAUUAAUUAUUUAUCUAAAUAUUUUUUAGUUAACUUAAUUAAGUAACAAGAUGUUUAUUUUUUUAAUUAUUAAAUAUUUAAGUAAAUUGUUUUUUUUAAUUUGUUAUUAAAUAUUUACUUGUUGUUAGUUAUUUAAGUAAAUGUUCUACUUAANNNNNNNNNNNNNNNNNNNNNNNNNGCCAUUUUUUAAUUAAACUUAAUAUUCAUUUGAUAAAAUUGUUUAUUGCCGUUUAUAAAUAGAAAAUUUAAUUAAACUUAUUUUUAUAAAUUAAUUUAUUAUUUAUUGAUUUGAUUAUCUACAGAUAUAUUAUAUUAAAUUUAUCUUUAUAAAUCAAUUUAUUAAUUAUUGUCGUAAGUAAAAGGUAGAGGAAGUAUUGAAUUGAAAUUUUUAUAGCUUGAUAGAUUUACACAUUUCUGAUUCAGAGUUUUUUUUUUUAGAGGUCUCACCUACUUCUUUCCAGGAGAAUGAGUCACACACUCCCACCACCGAAUGCCAUUAUCCUCUACCUGAAGGAGGUUGGCUUUGGCGACGCCAUACCACUAAACGAUUUUUUGUUUGACAACUCCCUGAUCACGGCAUUUGUGGAGCGUUGGCGUCCUGAGACCCACACUUUCUACCUUUCGUGGGUGAGUGCACUAUCACCCUCUAGGAUGUCGCAUACCACCUCGAGCUACGUGCUAAUAGAGAGCCAGUGGGUGGGUACAUCCGUAAUUUCUGCACAUUGUAUGAGACCGAGGCUUUGGAGUUGGUGGAGCGGCUACUCAGUGCCAGGCUUCCUGCAGUCUAGCGGCAGGGUGCACAGAGGAAUGAGUCUUUUUCCCUCAAACUGACAUGACUUUGGGAGCGACUCCAACAGAUGCCCGAUACAGAUGAUCUAGCCACCCUCUGACAGUACGCGAGGUGCUACAUACUAUUGAUGAUUGGGGGUUACCUGAUGACUGAUAAGUCAAAUAAUCAGGUCAAUCUCUGGUGGCUUCCACUACUAUAUUACUUUCAGAGGUAUCGUUCUCUGUCUUGGAGAUCUGCGGUGCUAGCAUAGACGUACCAUUCUCUAUGUUCUACAGCACACUGCUUAACCACAGACAUCACAGGGUGCACUCUUUUGCUAGUAUCUUGGAUAUACCAGAGAUUUUCUCAGUGGUGUCCACUUAAGCGAUAGGUUUACAUGUACUUCAUGGCUGCGAGGUAACUAUUCACUACGGUUUUAUUAUUCUUUGUUUACAUAAUUCAAUAUAAUGUGCGACUAAUCGAAUAAUGGAUAUUCUUGCAAAUUCUAUAGGUUGAUAGGUAUGACACAGCAGAGCAGGGACCAGUACGAGCAGAGAGUACUGCGAUGACGUCGGGUGUUGGAUCAGUUACUGUGAGCUGAGGUAAGCGAGUUACCCUUUUAUUUGGUCACAUUUGCAUAAAUUACUCAAACUUUCUUAGUCCUUGUCAUUCAUGAUUAUUUCACGACGUCCAUUGUAGUUUAUAUGGACGCCCUACGAUGACCUUGCACUGUAGGACAUCUACUCGGUAUGGCUGAAGGAAGAGGCGGAGUGGGGAACAUGGAUGUUUGUUGUUCCCCUCGUCUAUUUCAACAUAGUUGAUUUUUACUAUGUCGACCGGGUGAAAUGCCAAUUUAAUGUCUAGCAGCCAAUGCUAUGGGACUCAGUCAACGUUGACAAGUUCCUAACUACCACAGGACGGGGCGAGGAUGUCUGGUGGCCUACCAAGCUUUGUUAGUGGUAUGAUCGGUGGAGGGGUUGGUUUGAGGAGGGACACCGUAUAUCCAUUCAGCCGUUAACAAACUAUUAGCCAACGCGGGAGUAUUGGGAUUGGUAUCUGUAGGCUUGCUAUGUUAGACACUUGUCAGGACAUAAUGUGCUUGAUGACCCCAUGCUGUUGGAUUUACUGGGAGACAAGUAGCCGACUGCCAGCUAGCAGAGGGACGUCCUACACCUUCCCUCAUUCCCUGGGAUGUCCCUGAUCGUCGGCGGUGGGCCAAGGAGGUUUGGCCGGACAUCCAGAGGCUUACUAGGAGAGAGAGGGGUGUCAGAGAGCACGGAGGAGCUGCAGCACCCUAGAAAGAUAGGGUUAGGCCUCGCAGGGGGCGCUUAGACAUUGAGUCCAAGGAGGAGGCUAAGUAUCAUCGGCAGGAGGAGCACGGUGAUAUCCUAGACGACCAAGGUGACACCGCCUCCACCACGACCACCCCUCCUCCUCCUCUACCACCACGUCCACCUUCAGGGUCAGGAUCACAGGCAUUUCAAGUGAUUGGGAUGUUGCCCCCCUGGUUAGCAUGCCUCGGGGCAUCCAGCAGUCAUUAGGACUUAUGAGGCAUUGAUAGUUGACGAGAUAGAUUUUGAGGAGGCAUUCUACAUUCAUACCCUUGACCAACCCACCAUGUAGCGCAGUUCUGCAUAGGUAGGGAGUAGAGCAUGGGACAGGCACAGCAACAUUCAUCUGCCCCUAUGUCCACCACUGUUUGGGUUCCAUACAUUUCUUUGGGUUGUGGCACGUCAUACGACACACAUGUCAGACUCGAUGCUCAUUAUGCGACACCGCCUUCGGUAGACUAUGUCCUAUUGAUGACGACAUCCCAGCCGAUGCAUGCACCACCGAUUCAUCCACCUUACCAGCCACAGUAUCAGCCGGUGACGCACUCCAAGAGUUACAUUGCCACAUAUCAUCUUGUGCCCUCAAAGCCGCCUCAUCAGCCACAGGAUCCCUCGCAUCACCCACAGCCUCAGCAGACCUCAACGACAGGCUCAGUUUCCACUAUGUGGCACCGGACAUCAGCUGCAUUACCCAGGUGAUCACCACCAAUGAUAUUGUUAUUACUGUUGUAUGCUGUAAUUCCAUAUGUUACUGUUGAUGUAUUUUGAUACACUAUUUAUGUUAUAUUUUGGUACAAUAUUUAUGUUGCAUUUUAAUUCACCAUUUGUGGUUUUUUUUAUAUCCAUUGUAUUUAGUUUGAGGUUCAAUUAUUGAGCUCUUUUUUGGAUUUUUAUGCAAAUGCUGUUAUAUGUUGUAUUUUUAACUUUAGAAUUCCUUAACAAUAUAAAUGCCGUAAACAUGGAUAACUUAAACCGCAUAAUGUUCGAGUACAACAUUUGCUUAUUCAAAAUAUAACAAAAUGAACAAUAAACUAAACCACACAAACACAUGAACUACAGAAACAACCUUAAAAUACAUAAACAAAGUAGCGACUGUAAACUAAACCUCGUCUGUCGGCUGGUUUGGACAUCCUUUUCGAGUAUGACUGAUUUGCCUGCAGAGACCACACAUUUUCUCUUCGCGCUCGCCCUUGUCCAUCUCAAUAUGAAUCUUGGUGGAAACAGGUCAGCCAGUAGGGGUGUUCGUGGUGCGGUUUGGUUCAAUUUUUUAGAGAAAGGUCAUCCGAUCCGAUCGUCUAAUUAAACUGCGGUUUGAUUUGGUUCGGUUUUUUUAGCAAAGCCAUCUGAACCAAACCAAACCAAUUAAAAUCGAUUUGGUUUGGUUCGGUUUGUUCGGUUUUUUCAAUCAAUUAAAAAAAAUACUACCAUACUUGUUUGGUCUGACACAACUAGCACUGAAUGUUUGUUUAAAUUGAAGUAAUCCCAAAUACUGGCUUAACAUAAUUGUUAACCAGGAAAAGAAAAGAAAGACAAAAGCGGAAAGCAUUAUUGAUUACAGAGAGAAAAAGAAAGCAAAACAUAACCACAUAAGAAAACAUAUAAAAAUAAAUAAAUAAGCACCUUUUUUUGUUCUACUCCUUUGAUUUUACACACCAGUUCAUAUAGUUCCCUUAUGUUCGCCUAAAAUUUAUGAGAGAAACAAAAAAGCAAUAAUCAGAACUACGUUAGUCUAACAUUUCAAUUAUCACAUUAUGCCAAGUUAGAACCAAAGUAGAUGGCCUUGGAAAAUAUGCUAAUAAGAAAGAAUAGAAGAACUUUACAUAUAAUAGCAAAUCAUGUUCUUUACUUGCAGUAGGCUAUCGAGUAAUGUCAGUGUUCCAAUGUCUUCCUCACAUAAAAAUACUCAACAGUAUUUUUUCUUUUUGGAUAAAAGAUGAAUAUCAUUGACAUGGUAAUGCCAAUGUGUAUUACAUAUGCUUUUAAAAUUAAAUAGGUAUCAUAUUCGAUAGUCAUCUAUACUUACUACUUAGUGCAACAUAACCGCAAAACCAACAAGACAACCCCAUAUGAAAUCAAUUGGUACCUUUUUGCUUAAUUUUAUAGCUGACACACUGUUAUCUCUAGCAUCAGUCAACUUCAAAAUGAGUGGGUAAACCUCAACACUAUAUUGCCUCAAUGCAGCACCCUGCGAGAUCAACUUCCUCGGUAAUGCUGGUCCACCUUUAUACCUAGACCAUGGUAGAUAGAAAUCUGUUACAUCAAAGCCGCCUCAUCAGCCACAGGAUCCCUCGCAUCACCCACAGCCUCAGCAGACCUCAACGACAGGCUCAGUUUCCACUAUGUGGCACCGGACAUCAGCUGCAUUACCCAGGUGAUCACCACCAAUGAUAUUGUUAUUACUGUUGUAUGCUGUAAUUCCAUAUGUUACUGUUGAUGUAUUUUGAUACACUAUUUAUGUUAUAUUUUGGUACAAUAUUUAUGUUGCAUUUUAAUUCACCAUUUGUGGUUUUUUUUAUAUCCAUUGUAUUUAGUUUGAGGUUCAAUUAUUGAGCUCUUUUUUGGAUUUUUAUGCAAAUGCUGUUAUAUGUUGUAUUUUUAACUUUAGAAUUCCUUAACAAUAUAAAUGCCGUAAACAUGGAUAACUUAAACCGCAUAAUGUUCGAGUACAACAUUUGCUUAUUCAAAAUAUAACAAAAUGAACAAUAAACUAAACCACACAAACACAUGAACUACAGAAACAACCUUAAAAUACAUAAACAAAGUAGCGACUGUAAACUAAACCUCGUCUGUCGGCUGGUUUGGACAUCCUUUUCGAGUAUGACUGAUUUGCCUGCAGAGACCACACAUUUUCUCUUCGCGCUCGCCCUUGUCCAUCUCAAUAUGAAUCUUGGUGGAAACAGGUCAGCCAGUAGGGGUGUUCGUGGUGCGGUUUGGUUCAAUUUUUUAGAGAAAGGUCAUCCGAUCCGAUCGUCUAAUUAAACUGCGGUUUGAUUUGGUUCGGUUUUUUUAGCAAAGCCAUCUGAACCAAACCAAACCAAUUAAAAUCGAUUUGGUUUGGUUCGGUUUGUUCGGUUUUUUCAAUCAAUUAAAAAAAAUACUACCAUACUUGUUUGGUCUGACACAACUAGCACUGAAUGUUUGUUUAAAUUGAAGUAAUCCCAAAUACUGGCUUAACAUAAUUGUUAACCAGGAAAAGAAAAGAAAGACAAAAGCGGAAAGCAUUAUUGAUUACAGAGAGAAAAAGAAAGCAAAACAUAACCACAUAAGAAAACAUAUAAAAAUAAAUAAAUAAGCACCUUUUUUUGUUCUACUCCUUUGAUUUUACACACCAGUUCAUAUAGUUCCCUUAUGUUCGCCUAAAAUUUAUGAGAGAAACAAAAAAGCAAUAAUCAGAACUACGUUAGUCUAACAUUUCAAUUAUCACAUUAUGCCAAGUUAGAACCAAAGUAGAUGGCCUUGGAAAAUAUGCUAAUAAGAAAGAAUAGAAGAACUUUACAUAUAAUAGCAAAUCAUGUUCUUUACUUGCAGUAGGCUAUCGAGUAAUGUCAGUGUUCCAAUGUCUUCCUCACAUAAAAAUACUCAACAGUAUUUUUUCUUUUUGGAUAAAAGAUGAAUAUCAUUGACAUAGUAAUGCCAAUGUGUAUUACAUAUGCUUUUAAAAUUAAAUAGGUAUCAUAUUCGAUAGUCAUCUAUACUUACUACUUAGUGCAACAUAACCGCAAAACCAACAAGACAACCCCAUAUGAAAUCAAUUGGUACCUUUUUGCUUAAUUUUAUAGCUGACACACUGUUAUCUCUAGCAUCAGUCAACUUCAAAAUGAGUGGGUAAACCUCAACACUAUAUUGCCUCAAUGCAGCACCCUGCGAGAUCAACUUCCUCGGUAAUGCUGGUCCACCUUUAUACCUAGACCAUGGUAGAUAGAAAUCUGUUACAUAUUCUACAAAUCAAACAGUAGUGACCAUCAGAUGACACAAUUGAAAUAUAACCUUAACCACCCAAGUUCCAAGACUUCUCCAUUUAUAUGUUACCUUCAAUCUAACAUUAUCAAGAUCCAAAACUUCUAACACUUGAUAAAUCAUACUAAAUCACUUCAAAACUCAGAAGUAAUUCAGUAAUUCAACAGAACAGCAAAACAAAAUAAGACUCAGACUUUCAUUAAUUCAACAGAAUAACACAAACCAGAAGUAGUUUCAGUAAUUCAACAAAACAAACAGAACAACAAUUUCAGUAAAGUUACAUACCUGACUCAAUGGCUCGGAUUCCAUAUCUGACUUGAUAUGGUGCUCUGUGUCCACUGGGUGGUCCUGGGUGAGUGGGUGGUCCUGGCCUGCUGGGUACGAUUUGCGAGUUGCGAGGGACUGUGGGUGGUGGUAGGUGCGACUUGCAAGGGUGGUGCCAACCUGCUGGGCGCUGGGCGCUGAGCGCUGGCUGUGUGAUGCAGUGUUGGGCUGCUCUGUCCGUGAGGAGGUCCUAGGUGGGAGCAGUGAAAGGGCUGCGCUGGGAAGAAGGUCGGCGGUGGCUGCGAGGUGGUGGGAGGAGGUCUCUCACCGGCGAUGGGAGGUGCAGAGAGCGAGGCUGUGAGACUUAGGGAGUAGGGAGAUAAGGGCUAGGGUUCGUUUGGGAGUGGGGCUUGUGGGAAUGGUCGAAUGGGGGUUACUGGGUUAGGUUUAGGUUUCGUUCAUUUUGGGGGAGGGGUGGGGUGGGAUUGUUUUUUUUUUUAUGUUUUUUACCUUACUGGUUCGGUUGGGGUUUUCAUUAUCAAAACCGAAAACCGAACCAAACUGAACUAAAAAUAGCAAAAUAUAUUUUUUUUGGUUUUUUCGAUUAUCGGUUUGUUCAGUUUUCGGUUUUUUUGAUUCGGUUGGUCGGUUUAGUUCGGUCCGGAUCGGUUUUGAACACCCCUAUCGGCCAGUAGACUUCCUGCACAUGUCGGAAUUAGGACGAAACUGUAUCCCGUACCACUUCGGCCAAAGCUUCUCAUCUGGUAUCGGCAGAGAUUCCGCCUCAUACACUUUGAACACAGCCUACUGCAUGUACACCGGAUGGACGUAUUGACCCCAACCCAUUCGACACUCGCGGCGGCACAGGAUGCUAGCGCAUGGCGACAUGGGAAACGUAGUGACUAGAAAAGCCUACAGUCACACAUGUUCGUCGUCAAGCGAACACGGAACUACCCUUGCGACCAACCUUCGAAAGGCUCUAACUCCUCAACCAGGAACAUUGAAGCCCAUCUGUCGCAGUGAGUGACAUGCAUCUUCCAGAUUCCCUCUCUAUUCUUCUCAAUAGCAGCUAUCAACCAUUGAGAAAAUAGAUUACCCGCCACUAGUUGUGGAUGUGCCUCCCAUCCAGUCCGGACAAACAACUGUUGUAGCCUCUCGUAGGUGGAUCGUACGCUGGUUGAAAUCGAUAAAUAGCAUGUACCCUUAAGCACAACAUUCAUGCACUCGGAGAGGUUCGUCGUCUUGUGCCCAAACCUGCAAUCGGCGUAACAUUGUUGUAGUCAUAUCUCUUUGUUGAACCUACCAGCAUAGUUCGCCAUCUCUUGUGACAAACCCCUCAAUGCAUCCAUGUACCGCUCGUACCCUGUAAGAAUCAGAUUUUUGGUAAACACACUUUUUUGGCUAUUAAAAAAACAAAAAUUAAAUAGAAAAAAGAGAUUUACGAGGUCAAACUUGGCUUUAUGAGGGUAAUUAACCCCUCUAAGUCAAAUUUGACUAAUGGAUAUUAAAUACUAUCUUACCAUUGGCUUAGUUACCACACCAGAAACUUUUGAGCCACAAAAACACUUUAGUGACAAUUUUGCGCGCACCGAGAAAAACUCUAGUAACCAAAAACCUUAGAACCAGUGGUAAAAGUAAUUUCUAUCCAAGUAAAUGUGUCUCUAGAUUUAUAUUAGCCAUCCCUUCAUGAUUUACUUCUUUAAGAAUAAAUAUUAGCCAUUAAUUAUUUUACCGCCUGGUAAAAGUUAUCCCAACCGAAUUUCUAUCUAGUAUUCCACAAACGACUCCUAGAGGCCCCCAAUCUUCUUGGUUGCUACCCAAGUAACUCGGCCCACCUCUCUCAGCUUCUGGGCCGAGAUUAUCUUAGCCUCUCACCCCUCUCUCUUGUGUUUUUAACCACGAGUAACUAACCACGGUUAACUGCGAAUAAACACAUUAUUAUGACGCUGACUGUGUUUUCUCGAAAUCACGCCCGUUCUCUCUUAUUAUCAGCCCAUUUCUCUCUCAUUUUUUCAGACCUCUUUUACCACAUUUAAUUUGGUUAGACUUCAGAUUUUAUUUAAGAUAAUCACCAAGCAAAAAUUCAAUAACAUUUUACCAUAAAGAGAGAGAUAGAAACUGUGAGUGAGAGAGAAGAAAAAGAGAAAAUUCUGCACCUAUUAACUACGUUUUCAGCCUCCUAUCUCACUGUUCAUACACUAUUAUUCAAGGACUCAAACCAUACAAGCACAAACUCUUGCCCGUUUUCGCUAAUCCUUGCGUUUAUAUCAAAAUUUCGGCUAGGUAAACUCUUGUUCUUUCUCCUUUUCUUUUCUAUUUUUUUAAAAUAGUAGUGGUACACGAAAUCGUGAUCUCACACACUUUCUUCACAACUCCACAAAGCUGACCAACAAGUGCACUGGGUCGUCCAAAUAAUACCUUACGUGAGUAAGGGUCGAUCCCACGGAGAUUGUCGGCUUGAAGCAAGCUAUGGUCAUCUUGUAAAUUUUAGUCAGGCGAAUUUAGAUGGUUAUGUGAUUUUGAUAAUUAAAAGAGAAAUAAAACAUAAAAUGGGAUAGAGAUACUUAUGCAAUUCAUUGUUGGGAAUUUCAGAUAAGCAUAUGGAGAUGCUUUGUUCCCUCUGAGCCUCUACUUUCCUAUUGUCCUCAUCCAAUCAUGCGUACUCCUUUCCAUGGUAAGCUGUAUAUUGGGGGAUCACCGUUGUCAAUGGCUACCGUCCGUCCUCUCAAUAAAAAUGGUCCGGCUACGGGUUACGUAGGGCUAAUCAUCUGUCGGUUCUCACUUGUGUUGGAAUAAGAUCCAAUGAUCCUUUUGCGCACUGUCACUGUGCCCAAGCACUCGUGAGUUUGUAGCUCGUCACAGUCAUCCCAUCCCAGAUCCUACUCGAAAUAUCACAGACAAGGUUUAGACUUUUCGGAUCUCAAGAAUGCUGCCAAUUGAUUCUAGCUUAUACCACGAAGACUCUGAUCUCACGGAAUGGAAGGCUCUGUUGUCAGGAGAGGCAACCAUGCAUCGUGGACCAGGAGGCCAAGAGAUAUACAUUCAAGCUUGUUUUCAGGUAGAACGGAAGUGGUUGUCAGGCACGCGUUCAUAAGUGAGAAUGGUGAUGAGUGUCACUUGAUCAUCACAUUCAUCAUGUUGAAGUGCGAAUGAAUAUCUUAGAACAAGAAUAAGCUUAAAUUGAAUAGAAAACAAUAGUAAUUGCAUUAAUUCAUGAGGAACAACAGAGCUCCACACCUUAAUCUAUGAGGUGUAGAAACUCCAACGUUGAAAAUACAUAAGUGAUGAAGGUCCAGGCAUGGCCGAAUGGCCAGCCCCCUAAGCGUGAUCAAGAGAUCAAAAGUGAUACAAAGAUAGUCUCUAAAAUGAUCUAAAGAUCUCCUGAUUGAUGAAAAUAUACUAGUAAAAGGUCCUAUUUAUAAUGACUAGUAACCUAGGGUUUAUAGAGAUAAGUAAAUGAUGCAGAAAUCCACUUCCAGGGCCCACUUGGUGUGUGCUUGGGCUGAGCAUUGAAGCUUUCACGUGUAUAGGCCAUCCUUGGAGUUAAACGCCAGCUCUGGUACCAGUUUGGGCGUUUAACUCCAGCUUUUAUGCCAGUUCUGGCAUUUAACACCAGAAAAGAGUAAAAAGUUGGCAUUUAAAUGCCAGUUUGCGUUAUCAAAACUCGGGCAAAGUAUGAACUAUUAUAUAUUGCUGGAAAGCCCAAGAUGUCUAAUUUCUAAUGCAAUUGAGAGUGCACCAAUUGGGCUUCUGUAGCUCCAUAAAAUCCAUUUCGAGUGCAGGGAGGUCAGAAUCCAACAACAUCUGCAGUCCUUUGUCAGCCUCUGAAUCAGAUUUUGGCUCAGGUCCCUCAAUUUCAGCCAGAAAAUACCUAAAAUCACAGAAAAAUACACAAACUCAUAGUAAAGUCCAGAAAUAUGAUUUUUGCAUAAAAACUAAUAAUUAUAUACUAAAAACUAACUAAAUCAUACUAAAAACUACCUAAAAACAAUGCCAAAAAGCGUAUAAAUUAUCCGCUAAUCAAGUAGCCAUUAGGAAUUCUUACUCUUCUCCAUGUAUAGAGAAAUCCUCUUGAAGCACCCAUGGAGCACGCCUAAGAAGUUAGGGAGUUUUGAGCUCAAAGUGGUUGAAUUUCGACGUUUUGUGACACUUUAGGCCGAAAAACGAAACUCACCACCAACCGUUGUAUUUCUGCCCUUGUAUGCAUAUUUUCUAGUGUGUGAAAGCUUUAAUAACUGAAUUACAUAAGAGAUAAGGGUUACGAUUAGUUAGAGUAUGUUUGUGCUUAUUUUCGGUAUUUAUAUGAGCCAUUUUGUGGUGAAUUUGUACUUGUUUUAAAAUUCUGGAAAUUCUAUAAGUUACCAACUAUUUUGGCUUGCUAACUAUGUGUAAUAUACUGUUGUAUUGCCUCUGAAUUUUGUGUGAAAACAGCCGGAAACAUAGAAGCACUUGGGGUAUAAGUUUCAAGCUUUAAACGUCACAAAAGUGAAGAAAAAUAUAAAAAACUGCACCUUUGAAAUUUUUAGUCACCAAGAGCACAAAAAUUAUGAUAAAAAAGAACUAAAAAUUAGUUAGAAAAAUAGUUUUGAUCCUAUAAAACAAGUAGGUAAAAAUAGAAUGGGUGUUAUGGUCAUUUUCGGAUAAAAAAGAGAUUAAAAUUAUAAUAUAAACAAGAUAUAAGUAAAAUUCUGAAUUUAAUAGGUUUAGAGGAUAAAUAAUAAUUAUAUAAAUUAUUUGGGUCAAAACUUAUAUUUAAGAUAAAGUUUUAGGCCUGAAUAAAAAUUUUAGUAAUUUAUAGAGAUAAGUAAAUGAUGCAGAAAUCCACUUCCAGGGCCCACUUGGUGUGUGCUUGGGCUGAGCAUUGAAGCUUUCACGUGUAUAGGCCAUCCUUGGAGUUAAACGCCAGCUCUGGUACCAGUUUGGGCGUUUAACUCCAGCUUUUAUGCCAGUUCUGGCAUUUAACACCAGAAAAGAGUAAAAAGUUGGCAUUUAAAUGCCAGUUUGCGUUAUCAAAACUCGGGCAAAGUAUGAACUAUUAUAUAUUGCUGGAAAGCCCAAGAUGUCUAAUUUCUAAUGCAAUUGAGAGUGCACCAAUUGGGCUUCUGUAGCUCCAUAAAAUCCAUUUCGAGUGCAGGGAGGUCAGAAUCCAACAACAUCUGCAGUCCUUUGUCAGCCUCUGAAUCAGAUUUUGGCUCAGGUCCCUCAAUUUCAGCCAGAAAAUACCUAAAAUCACAGAAAAAUACACAAACUCAUAGUAAAGUCCAGAAAUAUGAUUUUUGCAUAAAAACUAAUAAUUAUAUACUAAAAACUAACUAAAUCAUACUAAAAACUACCUAAAAACAAUGCCAAAAAGCGUAUAAAUUAUCCGCUAAUCAAGUAGCCAUUAGGAAUUCUUACUCUUCUCCAUGUAUAGAGAAAUCCUCUUGAAGCACCCAUGGAGCACGCCUAAGAAGUUAGGGAGUUUUGAGCUCAAAGUGGUUGAAUUUCGACGUUUUGUGACACUUUAGGCCGAAAAACGAAACUCACCACCAACCGUUGUAUUUCUGCCCUUGUAUGCAUAUUUUCUAGUGUGUGAAAGCUUUAAUAACUGAAUUACAUAAGAGAUAAGGGUUACGAUUAGUUAGAGUAUGUUUGUGCUUAUUUUCGGUAUUUAUAUGAGCCAUUUUGUGGUGAAUUUGUACUUGUUUUAAAAUUCUGGAAAUUCUAUAAGUUACCAACUAUUUUGGCUUGCUAACUAUGUGUAAUAUACUGUUGUAUUGCCUCUGAAUUUUGUGUGAAAACAGCCGGAAACAUAGAAGCACUUGGGGUAUAAGUUUCAAGCUUUAAACGUCACAAAAGUGAAGAAAAAUAUAAAAAACUGCACCUUUGAAAUUUUUAGUCACCAAGAGCACAAAAAUUAUGAUAAAAAAGAACUAAAAAUUAGUUAGAAAAAUAGUUUUGAUCCUAUAAAACAAGUAGGUAAAAAUAGAAUGGGUGUUAUGGUCAUUUUCGGAUAAAAAAGAGAUUAAAAUUAUAAUAUAAACAAGAUAUAAGUAAAUUUCUGAAUUUAAUAGGUUUAGAGGAUAAAUAAUAAUUAUAUAAAUUAUUUGGGUCAAAACUUAUAUUUAAGAUAAAGUUUUAGGCCUGAAUAAAAAUUUUAGUAAAAGGUAGUUGUAAAACGGUAAAAAGUGGUCAUUAGAGCAAGUAAAUAAAUUAAUAAAGGGUAAAUUGGCUUUUAGGUCCUUAGUAGUGAAAAUUGGAAUAAUAAAAAUAUUAGGAGUAAUUUUGGUCAUAGAGAACUAUUGGGAUUAAUCCGGUAAAAUUUUGACACUAAGAAGGUUAAACGGUAAAACUGUAGCACUUAGAGUAAAAAUGAAAUUUUUAAGCACAAGGCACAAAUUAAAUUUGAUUAAUUAACUCAACGAAGGAAAAAAGGUCUAUUAGGAAAAAUAUAAAGAUACAAUAGUAAAAUAAUAACAUUAGUGGUGAAAGCGUUAUUAAAAACUUAAUGAAAAUGGUAAAAAAAAGAAGUUAAAUAAAAGGGGCGAAAUGGUAAAAUCUGACAAGGCUGAGAUAUUUUAAGAAAGAACCGACCACAAGUUUUUAUAAAAAAAAAGGGAGAAGAAGUCCCAUAGAAAUAAAUUUUGUUAAGAUGUGCCACGGAAGAAGAAACAGUAAACCCCCAUGUGCUAAGAGGUACCUGUCAGAGCAGACUUCCAUCCCGCCUGGCCAGAGACUAUAUGAACGUGGGGAUACCCGCCAUAUGGACUGUUACUCAUUGGGAGCACCUCAUAUUUUUGGGCCAUACUUUAUUAGUGUCGUGACUGUAUUUCGGGCACUGGUGCACGACCGACCCAGUGGAGUAGCUAUAUCCGGACUUGGGUCGGAUAACGUUGGGUUGCAGGUAGCCAACUGACGCAUGAGCUCAUGACCUGCGUAGGACCAGACAUGCAUCAUACUUGGUUGCUACAUUUCUUUGCUUGUGUUUGCUUACUUGUAUAUGUGACUGUUAUACUGAUUUAUAUACUUGUGAUUGAAUUUGUUUGUAUGAUUGAUUACUGUUGUAACCUUAUAAACGAUUAGACUUAGGUUGCGGACCCCUUAGAUUUUUUGUAUAGUACCCUACUGGGAACCUCAGGUUCUCACUCCUUUUUUCCAUGUCUGCAGAUGGGGACCGGCGUGAUCUUCUUUGAGUACUUGGCAUACGACAACUACGUGGACCCCACGACAGGGAGCGCGGUGUUUUGGGGUUGUCCACGUACACGCACCUACUAUCUUUCUGACUGUCCUUUCCUCACCCUCUGCUCAGCCAAGAGUUUGACCCUGACAUUCCCUAUGAUACACUGCUAUCCGAGCUUCACCCCGGUAGAGGCCAGUAUCCUUUUCCGCCUUACCCUCUAAACAUGGCAGAGCCAAUACUGGAAUCCCUGAUCGUUGACAUACCCAAGUAUCUACCAUGGUUCAAUCCCGAAGAGGAUCAAGUGGUUCCUGAUAUACCUAUGCCCAAAAGCUCUGGUUCCACACCUUCAACAGAGUAUAGCUCAGAGGCAUGGAUUGAUCAGAUAAUAGCGGAUCUGUACUCUAGUUCUUUUAGGACCGGGGAGGAGGACUCUACAGAGGAUGCGAGCAGCAGCAACAUCACGGGCACGUCAGAGUGAUUCCCUCGCUUCAGCAUAUUGUGUCAGCAGUUUUCGGAUAUCCAGUAGUAAUAGUAGUAGUAGUCUUACUAGUAGUGGUCAUUGCCCUUGCUCUUGAUAAUCUUCUUAGAAAGCUAGCUCUUUUGUAUUUCUUUAAUAAGUAGAUCGGUGGCUCUUGUGAGCCGGGACCUAGAAUCAUUAAAAUGAAGUAUGUAAACAUUAUAAUAAGUAAUUAAGUAUGAACUUGGGUCUUGUAAGGAAUAAAGCCUAUGGGCGUUUUAUGUAUGAUAUGAUUAUGCUUUGCUAUCCUUUUCCAUUUCUUGUAGUAACUGCUUAACUUACAAUUAUUCCAAUAUGCGCGACUAGAUACACGAUUCUUGACUAGCGCUACAGGCUCAUAUAUAUACACUUAAUAUAUGGUCUAGAGUCUCUAAAGUCAGCUAAAUAGUAGCGCUUGACUGCUAGCCUUGGUCAUAACAGGCUAGAAUUAGGGUCGUUAUAUACCCAGCCUUGCUUGGACUGUAAGCAUCAUUUUUGAGAUUCCGCUUUCUCUCGACAGACUUGAAAUGGGACAUAAAGUUCGCCGCCAUGUGCCAGACACAAUAACCAUGAAACGCUCUAGGAGGCUACCACCCACUAUUGUCUGCUCUUAGUACAGCCUUGAUCGUCUGGGAUCUGUGAAAAAUAAUCAACAAACCUUCCUGUGGGGUCACGUGUUACCUCAGAUUGUUAAGAAAGAAAGACUAGGACUCCGUGGUCUCAGACUCAAUAAUUGCAAAGGCUACAGGAAGGAUAUUAUGGUUACCGUAUUGUGCCACUACAAUAAAUAAAACACCACCAUAUUUGCCAUACAGAUGCGUGCCAUCGACGGAGACGAACGGCUUGCAAUUCUUGAAAGCCUCCACACAGGUAAGGAAGGCCCAAAAGACCUCAUCAAACACGCUGCAAUCAUGUACCAUAAGGUGCCUAUCAUAGUACGGUAUAGCCUUGAUCUCACAUAUCGUUUGGGGGCAACAACUCUGCAGUGCUUGCAGCAACCUCGGCACCUUAUUGUAUGACUCCUACCAACCACUGUAUAUCUGGGCAAUUGCCUUUUGCUUCGUCAUCUAGACCUUUUCUGUAUGAGGAUUUGAAGUGAUAUCUUUACCUAACUACACCUUAUAGGACAGAGAUGCUAACGGAUGGCGAGGAUUGUAUCAAUGGGAGGAUGACACGGCAGAUGAGACUGUUAUCCAACUAUCGAUAGUCUUGAGACAUGGUGGGUGCUAAACAUGUGUGCACUCCUCCAACCCUACUUUACCUCCCUAAAGAAAUAGAACAACUAGCACAAUAAUGAUAAAUGAGGAUAUAAAACACAGUUAAACUUGAACUUACUGAUAUCCGAGAUUCUGUCAGAGAGCAACACGGAGACGCCAAGGACAACCUGCUUUAAAGUGCCAGCAAUGCACAUGGUACUUUAAUGGAUCUGACUCCAUGACUCAGUACUCAGCACUUCUGCGAAUGAUGUAAUUCUUUACACCCAGUAUUACUGCAUCUCUGCUUUUAAAUCUAUGCCCAACCCAAAACUCCAAACCACCGUCGAAGUUGUAAACAUCUUCACCCGUGUUGGAAAAUGGAUUUUUCUCUUGUAUCGCGUCCAGAUCCAAUGUAUGAUAGUGACUGGGUACAGAUGAUAAGGCCAAAAUUGGGUGCGAGGUAGGCAGAAGAUACCGACGUAAUGCCUCGACUAGGGUCUCUGGUACAAACUCCUCAUCAUCAUCAUCUUUAGAAGAAUCGCUCUCGUUGCCAUCCGCAACAUACUCCUCGUCGGAGUCCCCACCGUCAACGUCCAUGUCUUCUACUGGACUAGCAACGUGUAGCGGUUUCGGUGCGAGAGGUGGGUCAUCCUGCACAAAGUUUGACUGGCCAGAUCCAUCGCCACCGACAUCACUAACCUUCGCAGAAAUCUCUAUCACUUGUUUCGCUAUGAUUCUCCUAUGGAUGUCAAACAUCAGACACACAUGCUCAUCGCCAUGGAGGCAAAACAGACGAAAAAAAACUCCAUUUUUCAUCGGUGUUAGCAACCUAUACCCCACCCUUCCGAUCUCUUUUCUACCGCUACCACGGACGCUACUCAAUAUCAAACUCUUUAGCUCUGACAAAGAACUUACUCGCCGGAUAUGCAAUAGAAUGAGAUUCUAACACUCAAAUAUCACUCUAGUAUUACUAUUUCUCAUAUGGCAAUUGGAAUACAUACUUACAAUAAGAUAACCACUACUACUAGACAUUUUGGCUUAUUUUUCAGAAGAAAAAAGGUAGAGAAGAAGAAGUGAAAUAUUUGUGGAGAAUACAAAGGGUUGCACAUUCUUUUAUAGCUGCUAAAAAUUUGUCGUAACGUAUCUCGUUUAUACUAUAAACGUCAUAAAUAUUCAUGUAUCUUGUUUAUAGUGUAAACAAAAUAUACAUGUAUCCCAUUCCGUACCUUAUCUCGUUUAUAGUGUAAACGAGAUACGUGUACUCUUAUUUCAUUUACACUGUAAACGAAAUAAGAGAUAAGGUGUAUUUUCAUAAAAAUGUUAGAAAUUACAUAUUUUGAUAAAUAAAAAAAUUAUUUUAAUUAUAAANNNNNNNNNNNNNNNNNNNNNNNNNNNNNNNNNNNNNNNNNNNNNNNNNNNNNNNNNNNNNNNNNNNNNNNNNNNNNNNNNNNNNNNNNNNNNNNNNNNNNNNNNNNNNNNNNNCUAAAUAAAGGACGUGGGGAAUGAAUGCUUGGCGACCAAGAUAAAAGAAAAGACGUGGGAUAUCCAGUUUGGAGAACAAGAUUCUUCAUAGUCAAGGCAAGACCAUGGAUUGUGGGAACCUGAAAAAAAAAGGAAAGCUAGAUCAUGGAAAGAGAGAAAUAUUCUGCAAUCCUUCAUUGUUGUCUAUAAAUAGGAGAAGUUUAGAAGAAUGGGGAGAAUUCAAUCUGAAUACAAAAACUACACUAAAACUCUAUAAUUUCCAACUCAUACUAACGUCAAGGAGAACUCAUGUGAGUGUCUGGAGUCAAAUUUUCAAUUUAUUUUAUUGUUUUCUUUUUUUUAAGUAUUUUAUUUUCUCUCAGUUUCAAUUUUACUUUCUUAUUUAUUUAAGAUUUCAUUUAUUUUUUGUAUUUCCAUUUGUUAUCAUUAUUUACAUUCUUUGAUAUAAUUUUCAUCAAAUAUUCCAUACAUUUUAUAUACAAAUAAUUGUUUGACGAGUUGAAUCCCAUUUUGGCCCUUGAAAUUUUCGAGGUGCCUCAAUUUGGACCCCAAAAUUUAUAGUUACCCAAUUAAAACCCUCAAAUAUUGAAUCGUGCCCCACGUUUGCCCUUGUCGAUAGUUCCGUUAACGGAACGCUGACGUGGCACGUUAAGUCGCCAGCGUGUGUAUCCAAGUGUCAUGUAGCUUGCCAGGGUGGAUUCUUGAUGAGUGAAUGAUGUGGCCAAAUUUGAAUCAACUCAAUUUAACCCCUCCAUAGAUGAUAAAACCCUAAUUUGCAACCCUCCUUUUCGAAUACGGUGAAGACUGUGCUAGAGAAAUGAUGAGUUCAGAAAGCCAACCUGCAGUGAGUUCUGCACGAUCACGUUCUCAUGGGGCUUCCCUGAGGAACCUUAAUGUUGGGAGGUUGGGGAAGAUUCCUGACUGGUGUGGUUGUGGAAUGCGUCCAUUGCUUCGCUGGUCUGGAACAAAUGCUAAUCCUGAUAGACCCUUUUAUGGGUGUCCAAAUUAUAAUGUAAGUUCUCAACGUCGUCUUCUUCUUCCUCAAUGUGUUGCUACUGGUAUUUGUGGUUGAUGAGUAAUCUUAAGAUUUUUUCUUUUUGCUGGUUGUUGCAAAAUUGCCAGAGUUCUGGGAGAAUGUGGUGUGGUUUCUUUAUGUGGGCAGACGGUGAAGAAGAACAGAGUUUAGUGGGCAAAACACAACCUACAAGCAGUGAUGAUAGUUGGAAGAUGAAUUUAGCAUGGAGAAUUACUUCAAUGGAAGUUGAAAUUAGGUGUUUGAAAAUAUGGAUUAGUAUUUUAAGUUUGGUUAUUUGUUUAGUUGUGUUUCUGAUUGUUAUGUAUGGUGUAAGUAUGAUUAAAUUUUGAUUAAAAGUGUGGACCUGAAGGUGUGUACUCUGAGGGUGAAUGAAAGUAUUGUAUUCAGAAUUUUAUGAAAAAGAAGCAUGGUUUUAGCUCCUCUGGUACAUAUGUCAUAUUGCAAUAGUAAGAAAGGAAAACUAAAUAUUAAACAUAUUGGUACCAUUUAUAAACCUGAAAUAAAGGUCUAUAUUUAGUGAAUAUCCAAAAGCAUUGCUUGCCAACAACUGAACAAAUAUCCAGAAAGUCAUUAACAAAAUACAUCCAGAAAUUCUUUAACAAAAUAGCCAAGUAUUUGGACACACACACAUAACCAUGUUCCAGUGACACAAGAUAAACAUAAUUAAGAAAACAACUACCCCAACUAUAAUGGUCUAUCACAACUAAACAUCAUUCAUUUCUUCCUAGGAGGUUUGAAUGCUGGCUUCACUCCUGGUGUUGGGACAUAUUUCAUGAAUUCAGCCAUCCUUGAAGAUGUUCCAGCACUUGCUCCUUACAAUGGGUCAACACUUGAUGAUCUUGGGGCUGGAGAUGCUUUCCUCUUAGGCUGUAAUUUGUCGGGCCUCAUUGCAGGAGUCACCUAUGAUUGCAUGAGUAUAAUACAAGUCCCCGUCAGUCAAAGUAAAAAUUAAAUUAAACAGAUAUUUUUUAAAUAACCAUUAAAAACACAAAUAAUAGGACAUAUUGGAAUCCUACUUGUUCCUGAUCUCCAUUAUCUGGUUGUGAAAAAGGGGUCUGUGAAAGCACAAUCUCCGAAGGAGCAUUUGUUGGGGCUGCAGAAGUAGCAACAUUAGUUGCUGCAGAAGUGGCAACACCAGUUGUUGAAGAAGUGGCAACACUAGCUGCUGCAGAAGUAGCAACAUUAGUUGCUGCAUUAGCACCCUUUUGUUUCUCCUUAGCUAUUACAGGUGCUGCAGUAGUAGCAAGGGCAGCUGCAAUGUCAUCAGCUUUUCUGUGGGAGUAGCUUCUCUUUGUGUGACCUUUUGUCCCACAGUAAGCACAAGAAAACUCCUUGUACUUUCUAUGUAGCUUUGUUGCAUCUGUCUUACUCUUCUUACUUCCUGAAGGCUCUUCAUCUGCAUCCUUUCGUCGUUUCUGCUUCAAAGGACCUGGCUUCCUCCGAAUCUUGGGAGCCUUGGGCCUACUAUACUGAGACUUCUCCCACAUUGCUUGUCCAGGGAUGGGAUUCAAGGAAUGCUUAUAUGUUUCUUUAUAUGAGUCCAUUGUCAACCACUUGUGAUAAUAGUCUUCAGGAUUCCCAUUGAUUCUAGCUAUUGCAGCACAUGCGUGGACACAUGGCAUGCCUGAAAUCUAGAUUAUAUUCAAUCAAAGAGGAGGUUCAGUCACAAACAGUUUAUAUUCAUUCACGUCACAAACAGUUUAUAUUUCAAUCAAUGUUACAAUUCCUACAAAAGUUGCCAAUGAGACCUCAUAUGUACUUCUAAGACAUUUUAUAACUACUACCAAGUAAGAAAAAAAAAAGAAUCUUAUACCUGUGAUCUGCCAGAAUCUGCAUGUGCAUAUAUGCUUUUCCAAGUCAACAACCAUGUUUGUUGGAAAUCCAUGAAUCUCAAAUCUAUGAUAGCCAUCAUCACCACACCACACCGGACGCCAUUUUUGUGACUCCUUCCUUAUCUUCUCUAGUCUGCUCCUCUGAAUAGGAGGUAACCUGCCAAUGUGGUGUUGCAGCUUCACUUUGUUUUUUGCAAUUGUUCUCAUCACGAACAUGCGUACUUCCUCUAGUAGAGUGAGUAUAGGCUUUUUCCUAUACUCCUUUAUCCUUGCAUUGAAGACCUCGCACGCGUUAUUACAAAUAUUAUCCAGCUUCGGAUCAUGACUAAAGUAUGCCUUCGUCCAACUUUCCUUUGGCCAUUUGUUCAAGUAGGCCCAGGCUUCCUCAUUCUUUCUCUUUACUUUCUCCAUUUUCUGUUCAAAUCUAUGCCUAGUUGUCUCUCUUGCACAUUCUCAUAACAUGGUUCUUAACUCUUGCGUGUUCCACUGCUUGUUAAAGUUCUUCCAUAGGUGCCACAUACAAAACCUAUGGUGCACUCCAGGCAUCAAUUCACGGACUGCUGGAAUUAACCCCUGCCAUCAUAUGACUAUAUCUGUUAGCAAUUACUGUUAUCGAGCCCCAAUUAAGCCCCCCAAAUAAACAGUUAUGACUCUAUCUAAACCCUUAAAUUUAAAUUAUGUCCCAACAGAGUUCUCGAUAGUUGCAGUCAAAUUUUUUUAAAGCUUAAAUAUUACCUUUUGCAUGUUAGACAUGAAGCACCAUUUGUUAGAGGCUACAUCACCCAGAUCAUCUAACAGAAGCUCCAGAAACCAUCGCCAGUUUUUCUUGUUCUCAACCUCUACAAUGGCCCAAGCGAUGACAUAUAUAUGGUUGUUGGCGUCUUGUCCAACUGCGGCUAGUAUUUGUCCUCCAAAGUGUGUCUUCAAAAAGGCUCCAUCUAGCCCAAUUAGAGGCCGACACCCAGCCUUGAAUCCUUUCUUGCAUCCAUCGAGGCAUAUAUACGUACAUUUUUUCGAAAGUUGGUUCUCCUUCAGGCUGCGGCUUCACUCCUAUUUUAAUAGUUGAUCCAAGGUUACUUUUCAAUAGUGUCUCUGCAUAGUCUCUGAGAAGUGUGUAUUGUGCUGCCGCAUCUCCAUAUACAAUGUUCCUUGCAUCACUUAAGGCUCUAGUCAGAGAGGACUUAUUGAGGUCAAGAUCACACUUCCUCUUGAAGUAAUCAGACGCUUCUCCAUGUUUCGGGUUAGGAUAUUUUCUUAUUUUCUUUACCAGCUUUGAGGCUAACCACUUCCUAUUUGCUGCCCUAUUUUUAGUUCUCCUUGCACAUAUGUGGUUGUUGUUGAAUGUUUUCAUCUGCCAGCAAGUCCCUUCAUGAUCCAUAGAGGCAUAUGCAACCCACUUACAACCCUCCUUCUUGUACUUGCAAACAGCUCUCACCCUAUAACUCUCAUUUCUUUUGAAAUUGAUUUGCCUCCCCUCUUGUAUGGUGAACUCUCUCACGGCCUCAAUAAAAUCAUGUUUGCUAUUGAACUUCAUCCCGACCUCCAACUUUAGCUCACCAAAUUUUGCUCCCUCCAUGAACAUUGGAAAAGCAUCGUCCUCAUCUGCAUCAGAUUCUUCGUCUGAAUUAGGUGGGGUCUUUAUUUCCUCAGAUUUUCACAAGUCAUUUCCAUCAGAAUCAUCGUGGUAUGCAUCAAAGGCGUCAUAUGGUGGCUGGAGCUCAGGGGCUUUUCCAAUCACUUGGUCCAGAUCAACUUCCUCAUCAGAAUUCUGAACUAUCAGCUCAUCUUCUUCACACAAGUCUUCGAGACAUAUCUUACCUUUUGCCUUAUUUUUUUUCAUUUUCAACUCCCUGGGUCUUGCUGUAGCAACUUCAGAAUCAGAUUCAUCAUCACUUGAACUCUCAAAAGCCUCGGAUCCAGGCCUAUAAAGUUCAUCUUUCGCACUCUCAUACGAGUCACUACUGUCACUGCUUAAUGUCACGGAUGGGACCUCACCAACAACCUUCUUCUCUUUGGGUGCAAAUCUUGAAGCUGAUCGUGUCACUCGUUUUGGUAGUGGUAUCGGUACCUUCUUCACAGCACCUUUCUUUGGGGUAGACUUUGAAUUCUUUUUUACACUUGUUUCAGACUUUUUUGUAGUGGUAGGUGGAAUAGACUUCUCAGAUUUAUUAUUUUUUGGUUUAGAAGAACAUGGAUUGGAAAUAGGCAUUGGUUUAGGCUGGGCUGGAGGUGUGGAUGUGGGCUGGGCUGGAGGUGUGGUUGUGGGCUGGGCUACAGGUUCAAAGGUGGGUUGAGCUGGAUAAUUUGAGGUGGGUUUGGUUUGAGGUUUUGAAUGGGGCUGACUUGGAGGAGCAGAGUUCAGUUGGCCUGGGGGUACAGAGUUUGCUUCAGGGAAUGUGAUCGUAUUUUGUUCAAGGGCUGUAUUUGGAAUACAUGAGGAUGGAUUUGAGGUGGUGCCAGAUACCAUGAUUUUUGGAUUAGCGGUCAUAGGGACCAGUUGUGGAACCUCAUCACCUUCAUGUUCAGAAUUUCCAUGCUCAAGAUAUACAUGCACUACACCUUCAUUAUUCUUUGCGUGAAAGCACAUCUCUAAGAGCUCCUUGUCAUGUGAUAGUGCUCUCAAUCCAGUCUUCAAGGGCCUUCCAGGAACUAGCCACCAGCACUCCUUCAAGUUGUCAUAUCCUAGAACCUUGUAAUAAUUUCUUAUUGAGAACACGUCCAAUGUAUCUGCCUCUAGUCCAAAUAACUGUUCAAUUUGGUCUCCAACAUACACAACUUCUCCAUCUUCUUUUGUCUCAAAACUUCCUCCAUAGUGGAUGACAAUUGUUAUAUCAUCAUCCAUCUACAUUGCAAAAUAACAAAAAUCUCAACAAUAAUUUUAAAAAACAAAGCAUACUGACUUAACUGACUUCAAACUUCAAACAGGACAAUAGGUCAUCAUUCAUUUUAAAACAACAAAUUUUUUAAACACAAGCAAUAACACACACAUGAUAACAUUUUUUCACAGAUAGCAAAAGAUAAAAUCGACAUUCUCUUCUUCAUCAAGGAAAAAAAAACCCUAGCAUCAUUCACAUGCAACAAUUUUCAAUGCCCUAAAUAUAACCAGCACCUUGCUUCGAUAAUAACAAUGCAAUACAAAAACCCAAACAAAAACCAAAAACAGAGUAUUAAGAAAUUUGUGAAAAAAAAAAUAAAACUUCACUUCCUAACCUGAUCUUCUUCGUUUCUUUCUGCGCCUAUGUUAGUUCGUCAGCAACCUCACCCAGCAGUCCAAUACACCAACAAUGUUACUCUGAUUCUCCUUCUUCACAGUCAAGCAAUGGAGAAGAACAACAAAGUGGAGAAGAAGAAUAGAAGACAAAGAGAAGGAAGAAGAAGGGUCAAUCUACGUCUGUGUCUUCAUCUACACGUUGGCCCAAUUUUUUUAACCCAAUAAAGCCCUUAAACGACGUCACAUUGAGUUAAAACUGGGAGGGAACAUAAAACGGCGUCGUUUUAUACUUUCCUACGUGUCAAUUUAACGUGCCACAUCAGCGUUCCGUUAACGGAGAUAGCUACGAGGGCAAACGUGGGUCACGAUUCAAUAUUUCAGGGUUUUAAUUGGGUAACUAUAAAUUUCGGGGUCCAAAUUGAGUCCGCUCGACAAUUUCAGGGGCCAAAAUGAGUAUUAACUCAUUGUUUGACACACACGUUUAAUAAAUUUUAGGUCGAGUUUUCUCUUAUAAAAAGAGUUAUAUUUGCUCCCUAAAUUAAAAUGUUAGAUAUAAGUUUGAUUCAACAUUCUAUUAAAAUUGACAAAAAUGAAGCAAAACAGUCUCAUAUAUGAUAACAAAUUUUAUUCCUAGCAAUAAUAUAGUUUGAUUGUAGUAUAAAAAACUUUUAGCAUGUGUGAGUGAAUAAGUAUGUAUAACAAAAAAAAAAAAAAACACACACACACAUAUAUAUAAUUUGUUUGGUUGUUAAGAUACUUAUAAGUAAACAUAAACACAUUUAUUAUUAGUAACAAUUUUUUCGCCUGGAAAAUGUGUUUCAUUUUCAUAUCUAAUAAUAUUUAUGUCCCAACUUUUUGCCAAAACAGUAAAUACAUGUAUUAUGUUAUGUGUGGUUGUGUGUUAGUUUAUCCAUCUAAAAUAUGUGUUUUACUAAACAAAUAACGAAUAUGUAUUAUAGUGUCUAUAUUUUUAAGAGCAACUCUAAUAUGAUAUUUUUUGGAUAUUAUUUUUGAUAUAUACAAUAAUUAAAUUAAUUUAAAAUUAAAAUUUGUAUUAGAUAUGUUAUUUAAAAUAAUAUUUAAUAUUAGUAAAAAAAACUAUAUUAUUUAAAAAAAAGACCAAUUUAAUAUUNNNNNNNNNNNNNNNNNNNNNNNNNNNNNNNNNNNNNNNNNNNNNNNNNNNNNNNNNNNNNNNNNNNNNNNNNNNNNNNNNNNNNNNNNNNNNNNNNNNNNNNNNNNNNNNNNNNNNNNNNNNNNNNNNNNNNNNNNNNNNNNNNNNNNNAAAUUUAUGUGAAGAAAAAAGUAAAAUAUAUUUUUUUAAUUUAUUCUAUUUUAUAUUUAAUUUAUAAUUAAAUAAAAUAUAAAAAAAUAUUUUUUAUGUGUUUUUAUUUUUUUUAAACUUAUAGAAACCACCAUGUAUCGCCCUAAUUGGAAAUAGCUGAAAAACUAUGUUUUGCUCUGCGGUUUACGUACACACUUUCAAGCAAACAAUAAACACCAAUGAAAGCAGCACUGUUAAGUGUUUUCACUUUUCAACUUUCCAUACCUUCAAACCAAAAGGCCAAGUGGCCAACAAUGGUUGCUAGUUAGUUUCUCUUUCUAACGAACUUGGGUUGAUCAAGUGGUCAACUCACUCAUCUGCUUAAACAAGUAUCAGAAUUCGAAUUUAACUUUGUGCAUAUAGUAAAUUAUUAGCUAAUAAUAGACUUUUAAAUAGAAUUUAAAUGCGCGACAAAUUAAUUUUUGACUUGUUUUUUCCUAACAUACCAANNNNNNNNNNNNNNNNNNNNNNNNNNNNNNNNNNNNNNNNNNNNNNNNNNNNNNNNNNNNNNNNNNNNNNNNNNNNNNNNNNNNNNNNNNNNNNNNNNNNNNNNNNNNNNNNNNNNNNNNNNNNNNNNNNNNNNNNNNNNNNNNNNNNNNNNNNNNNNNNNNNNNNNNNNNNNNNNNNNNNNNNNNNNNNNNNNNNNNAUAUAAUAUUUAAUUAAUAAUCAUAAUCAUCCCAUAAAAAUAAUAGCAAUAUUAAGUAUCUUAACCUUUGCAUGAUAUUAUAAUAAGACAUAUUCCUUGGUCCGCGCUUUGCUUCUGUCAUCACACACACAUAUCCAAUGCCGGCAAUGGCUACUUCCAACUCUGCACAAUUUUUAUACAAUUUAGAAAGCACAUAAGUCUUCUAUGUUCCUGGCUUCCACUGAUUUCUUCUUCUUCUUCUUCUUCUUCUUCUUCUUCUUCUCUUUAGAAAUUAUUGUCUAGUUUCCUCCAAGAACCUGGCUUUGAAUUAACAUGAUGUCUUAUUAUUAGUCCUGUUUUCAUUGAUCAAAAUCAAAGCAAAAGUCAAAAGCUUCUUGUCAAGUAAUUUGAAUUGUUCAACAGUGCAACUUCAAUAUAUAUAGCAUCUUCAUAUACAGUGCUUCACCUUCAUCAUUCAACUGUUUAUUUGCCAGCACGUGCGCUACGACACCCUCGCCGGAGGUGGGGUGUGAGUGGAAAUCUUGUGAAGGAUCAGAGUAUAACAAAAAGGUUAGGAAGAGAUAAGGUCAAAGACUUGGCCAAGUUUGAAAAAUUUUCAUUAGAGUCAGGGGGAUGAAUGGUUGAAUGCUUUGAUUCUAUAGUAUCUUUUUAGAUUCUGAGUUUUAUGUAUGACGAUCAUAUAUAAUUAUGAGUUAUUGAGUGGUUUUUGAAGUGGUAGCUUAAUUUUAUUAGGUCCAAAAGAUAAGUUCAUUGUUUUAAGUCUCUUAGUUUGUCAACGUGCAUGCCAAUAUGAAUUUCUAAUUUUAAUUUCUUUUUUUUUGGGUAGUAGAUGAAUGUUACCUUUGUUUUUCAAAUAUUAGCAAUUGGUGAAUUCAUAUAGUAAAUGCCCUUUUGGAUCCUUAUCAUUUGUCCAAAAGACAAAGCGCCUCUCUACAAUUCAAAAAUCUCUAGUCGGUCUCCAACCAUCCAAGUGAUUAGGAAUUUUCGAAUGGGAAGUGCUAGGUAAACAAUGACCAUUUUUAACAACGUUAACAACCACCAAUUAAAUAAAAAUACACUACAUCCUAAUUUAAUGCUACUAAUUAAAUUUAAGAUUAAUUUAUUCUUUUAACUCUAUUAAUUCACAUUGUUCACACAUUGUUCAAAAAUGUUAUUGGUUACCUAUAUUUUUCCUUUUCGAAUUGUGGAGGAUCACGUUGUGUGUUGCUCGAAUUCAUGUAUACUCAUUAAUCUUGAAUAUUCUAAACCUUUCUGAGUUCUGAUGUGAACUUUGUUGUUUGCAUUAGAUUCCAUUUAUAUUUUUGGAUUGCUAUAUAGAUUUAUGAAAUAGUUGGAGUAUUCUUGUACACUCAAGUGUCUUUACAGAUAAUGAAUUUGGUUCUUUACAUGUUGAUCUCCAACUGUUUGAAGAAUGUUCCAUGAGGCUUUCUUUGUUGUGAUGUCAUUUUAGAUAUGGCAGGGAACUUCAGAUUCACAAUGGACCAAAAGGAUAUUGUUAGAAUCUUGACAACAACCAUCGAUAGUUUCAUUCAGGAUCGAUUAAUCGACAAAGAACUAAGAGCUCAGCACAAAGAACAGUGUGCAGAGAGGUUAGCAGCUGAAGAUGGAAGUUCUGAAAAAGACACUGAGGUAGAGUACUCUGAUCAAGCAGUGUUAGCAAAUCUUGAUUGGGGUAUCGAGGCGCUUGAAGAAGCUAUCAAUACCUAUAACACGGAAACUAAGCUUGCGAGACUCGAUUAUGCUGAGAAGAUGCUGCAAGUUUGUGCAAUGCUGAAUCCUAAGCAAAAGACUGCUGGAGUGCCAAACUUCUACCUUUCAGCUUGGGCACAUUUGAACCUAUCAUACCUAUGGAAGUUGAGGAACAACAUUCAGAAUUGUGUUCUUCAUGCCAUUGACAUGUUCAUCGUUGAUCCUUUUUUCACUCGGAUUGACUUUGCUCCAGAACUCUGGAAAACUCUGUUCCUUCCACACAUGAGCUCUAUUGUAGGGUGGUAUUCAGAGGAGAGGCACAAACUUAUGAUGGAAGUAAUACCUGAAACUUCUGAUUUUUCAGUCACAGCUGAUUUUGAUCAACUUUUCAAUGAAUCCUUGGUAUUCUCUCUGAGGCCAAAUCAGUUAGAUAAGUUGCAAAAACUGGAGCAGCUUUAUGGAGAGUCUUUGGACGAGAACACGCGGCUAUAUGCAAAGUACUAUAAGGACUGCAUGAACUCUGAUUCCACUACCUCAGGCAAGAAGGUUGUUCCCAUGUUGCCAAUUGCUGAGCCGCCAAUGACUCCUUUGCAUGAGUUGAGCAGGUCGGUUCCAGAUUAUGUGAAAUUCGGUCCGAUUUUGCCUAAGAGUGCUGGCUUUUCUUUGAUGUCAAUGCCAAAAGAUGGUGUAAAUGAAAAAACCAGGUAGUAUUUCAUGCACCAAAAUGUAAAUUCUGUGUGCAUGUGUUCCAUUUUCAGUGAAAAUUUUUACUUCAUUUGAGCCUACUAUGCAUGUACCUUUUUGGAUGCUGAAUUUCAAAUUUUCAACAGAGAUAAACCAUCGAGCCAUUCCAAGGUGGAAAACUCAUCUAUAUGGGGUACUAAGGUGAAAGAGAGUUAAUUAUAUUUUUAUUGCAAAUAAUAUCUAUAGCUUUAGAUUCAUGGUUCUCAAGUAGCAUAAGUGUAUAGCCCUUAUGAUAAUUUAUGAUAUGUAGGAGAGCAUCAUUGAAGAGAAUGAAAAUGAAAAUGAAAAUGAAGAAGAUUCAGAUUCUGAUCUUGAUGAUGCAUCUGUGGGUUCUCCUAACAAAAAUAAUGUUUUCUCGCCUGAAAGGAAGGCGAUCAAGGACGACAAUAUUGAGCCAAAAGUGCAUCUAUCAAACCAAAGGAGUAAAAUAUACUCUCCUAGUAUCUCCUCUCCCUUGGACUCUCCAAGAACUCCUCAAGACAAUUCGUCAUUAAAUCCUCAUAUGCGCAGCAAAAGAGAGCCGAAGUACUUGCGCUUAUUGUCUAGUCGUUUAAGGGAUUCGAUCAUUUCUGACUCUUUAACAUCAUCACCAGACCUGAGCACUGAUCACAUUAUGAACUCUGAUCAUGAAAUGAUGGUGUGCCUCUUAUGAUAUCUAUGACCCCAUAUGUUAAUAAUACUAUUAACUUUCUAUUAUUGCUAAGUGUGAAUGUGAUUAUCAAUUUUUAUGUUGAAGACUGUAAUUUUUCUUUGGAAUAUAGGUGAACAUUAAGAAGAAAGACUAUAAUCGAAUUCCAUGUAUGAGUUAUGAAAAUGAGGAUAGCCUGGUGCUAAAUGACAGGUAAACUAUAUUAAUAUGUUCUAUGAUGCUCUUAAUUAUAUAGUUCUUAUGCAUAGCAUAGAGCAUUUGAUAAGUAAUAAUCAUUAUAGGUUUCUUAGUGCUUCAAUAUCUUUGGAUGCAGUUCUUUUUGUGAAAGUGAUGAGGGAUAUCAUGGCUGCAUUUCAUUGCCCAAAUUAGAGAAGCAGACUACCGGAUCAAAGCCGCCAAAAGAUUUUGUAUGUCCAAUCACAGGUCAGAUAUUUUGUGAUCCUGUUACCCUUGAAACAGGCCAGACCUAUGAAAGAAAAGCUAUUCAAGAAUGGCUUAAAACAGGAAACACAACAUGCCCCAUCACGCGACAGCCUCUAUCCGCAAGCAUGUUACCCAAAACAAACUAUGUUUUGAAGAGAUUGAUAACAUCCUGGAAGGAACAACAUCCUGAACUAGCUCAGGAGUUCUCAAAUUCUAACACUAACACACCAAGGGGUUCUUCUUGUUCUCCAUUGCUGAAAGACAACUCAAUGCUGUCCAUUUUACAAAGAACACCCGACUCAAUGACUCAUAAGAACAAAGAGGAUUAUAUCAUACAAAGGAGCAAGAGAUUUAUACAGGUUGCUGCAACAUCUCCAACUAGUGUGCUAUCUCAAGCUGCAGUUGAAACAAUCAUGAAUUCCAUGAAACCAUACAUUUCAAGUCUCUGCACAUCAGAAAACUUACAAGAAUGUGAAGAAGCUGUAUUGGAAAUUGCUAGAUCAUGGAAGGAUGCAAAGAGUGAUCCUCAGAUUCAUUCUUAUUUAUCAAAACCAACUGUCAUAAACGGUUUAAUGGAAAUACUUUCAGCUUCUCUGAAUGGAGAAGUUCUGAGGACAACAAUUUACAUCCUUACAGAGCUAAUUUUUCUAGACGAAAGUGUCGGAGAGAUACUUAACAGUGUAGAUUCUGAUUUUGAUUGUUUGGCUGCUCUGCUCAAGAAUGGUUUGGCUGAGGCAGCACUUCUGAUUUAUCAGCUAAGACCAGUUUUUGCUCAGCUAUCAGCCCAUGAGCUUAUACCGUCUCUAGUCCAAGUGAUUCAGAACAAAAAUGAGGAGUUGGAUGAUUUUCAAUUAGUUAUGGACCCGAAAGAUGCCGCCAUAGCAAUUCUUGAACAAAUAUUAGCCGGAGGGGAUGAAUACAGCAGGUCCCUUAAUGCUUUGAGUGUUAUUUCAGCAAAUGGAAUUCCGGCAUUGGUAAAAUAUUUAGAGAGGAUGGAGGUAAGGACGUCUGUUGUUUCCAUACUUUUGUGUUGUAUGCAAGCUGAAAGAAGUUGCAAGAACUUGAUAGCAAGUCGAGUCGAAUUGUCUCCUGUUCUUGAAUUAUUUCAUGGUGGAAAUGAUAGUGUGAAAGGCGUCUGCGCAGAAUUUCUCUCCGAGCUGGUUCAAUUGAAUAGGUAACUAAAAGCUUGCAGCUUACUUGUAUCGCAAGCAAAUAAAAUCUUCCUUCCUUUCUAAUUACUUUUCAAGUGAAAUACAGUUGUUCCUUUACAAGCAGAAUCUAGUGUGUCAAUGUUUUCUGCUAGAACAUGAGAGAAACCUUAUUUAUUUGAGUACUUUAUUAUGUUGACAUGGGAAGGUGUUGUUUGCAAGAAGAUGUACGUCUAUUCCAAUUCCUUCUUCAAUCCAUUUAUUUAUGUUUUCAUUUUCAUAUUGUUAUCAUUAGGAGAACUUUCUGCAACCAAAUCUUACAGAUAAUCAAGGAUGAAGGAGCAUUUAGUACAAUGCAUACGUUUCUUGUAUAUCUUCAGAUGGCUCCAAUGGAGCAUCAGCUUGCUGUUGCCAGUCUUCUUCUCCAGCUUGAUCUUCUGGUCAGUCUUUGGAAACCAAUUUCUUGUUACAUAAAUGUAGUUUAUGCUCUCUUGUCAUCUCAGCAUUUUUUAUCUUGUCAAAUCUUUAGGUGGAGCCACGAAAGAUGAGCAUUUAUAGGGAAGAAGCUGUAGAGACACUAAUUGAAGCACUUUGGCAAAAAGACUUCUCAAAUACUCAAAUUAAGGCUUUAGAUGCUUUACUAUAUCUUAUUGGACAUGUCACUUCCUCAGGAAAGUCAUAUACUGAAGCCUGGUUGCUCAAGAUCGCAGGAUUCGAUCAGCCUUACAACGCUUUAAUGAAGGCCGAACAAUUGGGACAACGUGACAAUGAUUUGGUGGAAACAAUGGUUAGGAGCUAUGAGGCAUUUAGAUUUUCUUUUGUUUGAAAAAUUGUUGAUUUGUUUUUCUCCAACUGACACAAAUGUUUCUUGCAUAGGAGGAUGAGAAAAAUGCAUUGAAUUCUUGGCAGAAAAGGGUUGCAUUUGUACUUUGCAACCAUGAAAAUGGUUCAAUAUUUAAAGCAUUGGAAGAAUGCUUAAGGAGUACUUCCCUAGAGAUGGCAAAAUCUUGCCUUGUUCUGGCCACAUGGAUUACACACAUGCUCUCUACGCUUCCUGACACCGGUAUAAGGGACGUUGCUCGUGAGUCAUUGCUUGACGAAUUCAUAAAUGUUCUACUGUCAUCAAAGAACAUGGAGGAAAAGAUUCUUGCUAACCUAGCUUUGAAUACUUUCAUUAGUGAUCCAAGUAGGUAUUUUUAUAAUAAUUAUGGACAUUAUCUGUGUCAUUUUAUCAAACAAAGGAAUUCUCAACUGAAAACUUAUGAUGUUUCAGUUGCUCAUGAAGCACUUGGAGGCUAUGCUAAAAGCAUUUAUAGAACACUGAGGAAGCUAAAGAAACAUUCAGCUGCAGCAGUUGAUAUUAUGAGAAUCUUACUAAACUUAAAAUCUGUUGAUGUGGUGAGUCAAAUGGUGAUUCAUGAUAUUAUUCAUUACGUGCAAUAUAUUAAGGGUUAAUUGGACUUUAUACCCUGAAUCUUACAUCAUGUGCACUUUAGCCUUUAAACCUUAAAAAUGUGCAAAUCAACUUGAUUAAACUUUCCUAAACUUUGGGUUAUGUGCAAAUCAUUCGCCCUCCCCCUAAAACUUUGUUAAAUAUGCAAAUUUGAUACAUAAACUUUGAUAAAUGUAUGUUAUUUUUGUUAACAACAACAACAAACCCUUAUUUCACUAGUUUGAGUCGGCUACAUAGAUAAGAUAAUGUCAUUGAGUCCUAUCAUCUAUCAUGUAUAUAGUAAAACUAUUUACACGGGGACCUUCUUUGACCAUAGAAAUUACCAUAGUGGUCAAGCUACACAUUUGGAAAAAGUAACUAACAGAAAUCUCUAUUUCGCAGACUGAGUUGUGGAGUUGUAAAGAGGUUGUUGAGUUAGAUUUGAGCUCAAACGGAGAAGUUCUUUCUUUGCUUUAUCUGAAUGGUCAGGUCUUGAGUGGACACUCUGAUGGAACUAUCAAGGUAGGGUGUAGGGUGUCCUAACCAAUAGAAAAGUGUGACUGAAUUCCAUGUUUGGCUGCCAUUCUUUCUUGAAAAACUAUCACUUAAUAUGUUGAAUAACAGGUAUGGGAUGCAAGGAAGAGAAUACCAAGAAUCAUUCAAGAAACUCGCGAGCACACAAAAGCUGUAACUUCUCUGUGCUCUUCAGGUGAUAGACUCUACAGUGGUUCCUUAGACAAAACCAUCCGGGUAAACUACCUUCUUGUUAAUUGUUAUCAUGAAAACUAGUCUUAUGUUUGACUAAUCAAUUUUUAUUUUUAAAAAAAAGUUAAAUAGCUCUAGAAGUACUUAAUUUUCAAGCUCCUUGUAGUUUAAAAUUUUGUAUUUUAAGUCCCUGUAACUUAGAGAUGUUGAAAUCCAAUCCAAACCAAACCGCUCAUCCAAUUCAAACAGAAAACCAAUCAAAUUAUAAUAAUUUAGAUUGAACUGAAUUCCAUCUUUCACAAACCACUCAAAUUGGAUCAGAUUUCAGAUCGACUUUUUACAACUGAUCUAAUCCAAUUCAAACCGUAUAAUAUCAUUAUCAAACUUUAUGACUACUUAGAAUAUGUUUAAUUUAUUAUAUAUUUUAUCUUAUUCAUGUAUUAUUAAUAUUUAUUUUUAUGAAUGUAAAAUGAGAUUUUUUUUUAUUUUCAUCUUUCUUCUGGUUGAGAUCUAUUUUAUAAACAACUAAACUUAGGUCUAAGAGUAAAUACUAAUUAUAUUGAUAAAGUUCACUGAAAUAAGCAAGACCAAAAUGAGUUUACUUCACAUAGAAAAUAGCAGGGCAUUUUCUUGUGGAAACUGCAAUGAUUGAAGACCAAUAUCUUAGCAAUAUUUGCCAUCUUGAUAACUUCCAAAUUACUUCUUGCAUCUCAGGGAACUACUUCAAUCAUAUUAUUCAGUAUGAACUAAUCAAUAAGACUUUUAUGUGAAGGUUUGGACUAUCAAAGCCAAUGAGAUUAUAUGUAUAGAUGUUCAUGAUGUGAAGGAGGCAGUGUAUGAGUUAACAGCAAAUGCUAGAUUGGCAUGCUAUGUGUCUCAAGGAACUGGAGCCAAGGCAAGCCAACUAUAUAUGUUGCUUGAACAAAUCAAAUCAAAUAGAAAAUCAGUUUCAUCGUAAAAAGGGUAUGAUUAAUAAGAACUUCAGAUGUUAAUUACAGGUUUAUAAUUGGUCAGAGGCUCCAAAGCAUAUCAAUUUCAGCAAGUAUGUGAAAUGCCUUGCUGUUGCCGGCAACAAAUUGUAUUGCGGCUGCUCCGGUUACAGCAUUCAGGUAUGCAUCAUUCUUCAGUAGCUUCAUAUUCUUGCAGUUCCUUAAGAUAAAAUGUAACAAGUACCAACCAAUAUAGAUUAUAUGGAGUUGAGAUCCAAAUAAUUUAAUUCUAUAAAAACAUGCAAGGCUUCUGUUGGAAAAUUUCCAUCACAAAAUUUAGUGAACAUGUUCAGGAGGUUGACUUGUCCAAACAUACAUCAUAUUCAUUCUUCUCUGGUACAAGAAAAUUAUUGGGAAAACAAACCAUACACGCCCUUCAAAUUCAUGAUGGUUUCCUCUAUGCCUGUGGAUCUUCUGUUGAUGCAACUGCAGGAAAGGUGCAUACAUGCCAUUUCUAAUCCUAUACCAAUCAUGUUAUUCUCAUCAUUACAAAUAAAAAAAUUUCUUGCUAAGCUUGAAUAACUUUUUGAUGUCAGAUAUUUUCACUCUCCACCAAAAUGGUAGUAGGAUCACUAUCGACUGGACUCGACAUCCAUCGUGUAGCCAUCAACAAUGACUUCAUAUUUGCAGGUACGAAGUUCGGCACCAUUGAGGUUUGGCUGAAAGAUAAGUUCACCCGGGUUGCUUCCAUCAAAAUGGCUGGUGGUAACACAAAAAUCACAUCAUUAGUAUCAGAUGCGGAUGGUAUGAUGCUUUUUGUUGGUUCCUCUGAUGGAAAGAUCCAGGUUAGUUCUUGAUCAUUACAGUAAUCAUGAUACUAGAACUUAGGAUGCAUUUGAUUUGCAUUUUUAUUUUCUGUUUUCAUUUUCAGUAUUUUCUAUUUCCAGAAUUUUGUGAAGAAAAAAGAGAAAACAAUGAAAAUGAUAUAAUCCUUUUUUUUGUUUUCACUACCCAUUUUCUCCUUUUCCUUCACAAAAUCCUAAAAACAGAAAACACUAAGAAUGAAAACAGAAAAUAAAAAUACAAACCAAACGCAUCCUUCUUUCUUUGUUUGUUUUUUGGCAGAGAAUUUAGCUAUUCAUUCCAAGUAAUCCCAUUUUCUCCAUGGUUUGCAGGUUUGGGCCUUGGAUUAAGCACAUGAAACAAAAAGUAUAAUAAUCCUUUUGCCACAUGUAAAUGAAUUGUUUAUGAGCAUCUCAUAUGAUGGUCAUUUACUCUACUUGCACGUUUCAUAGGAAUUCAAUAGUUAAGAGUAUUGUUCAUUUGAUUAUACUAUCUAAAUAAGAUAUUCUUUGUUGAAGGUUAAUGGAGCAUGUGCAGAUUGAGCUAUAUAGUAUGUGGGAAAAAACAUCAAAUUCCAACUAUGAAGUGAGACCAAGACAAUUUUGAAGUGAAACUUUGAUACAAGAUCUAUGUUUGGUCCACCACAACUGUGUUUGAUUCACAAAUGAGCAAUUCUUAUAAUGAAAAUUCCUUAAUCAACCACAAUACUAUAUUGGGGGCCAAAUAGAGCAUAUUCCUAUCCCAUAAAAGUUAACAUCAUUAUUAUUGCAUUUUGAACCUUGAAAGUAUGAUAAUUAAUAAUUUAACACUGAAUUUUCGCCCCAUUACUCAGCUAUGCACUUAAAUAAAUUUAAAAAAAAGGGACACUUGUGAAUAAGCACCAUGUCUAAAUUUACACAUCAAUGAUGAAACUCAUCCAUGAAAUUUUUCUCGCUAUUUUACCUCUCAAAUAAACAUAGUGUUAACUUUGAAUCCAAGGGUCAAGGAAUAAAUGUCUAAUAUAUUUUGAAGUGUUAGUACCAUGCAUAGCUUCUCACAAGUUAACUAAUGUUAAAUGCAAGUUCACUCCCUGAUGAUUUAUUUUAUUUUUCCUCUCUUUUACCAUUUUUCAGGUAGGUUAACAAGAUGUACUAUAAUACAAAACAUAAGUGAUCAAUGAUCAUUCAGUAGAACAAGAAAAAUAUAUAUCACCUUCAUAACAAAUUGUAACUCUUCCAUUACUAAAAGUUUGAAAAUUAGCCAUACAAGGCAACUACAUAGAAAGGCUUAUAAUAGUUUAAAUAUAAGGAAUGAAUCUAGGUGUGUGUGCAUUGAAUUGUGAGUUUUUUAUGAAUACAAGACUAUUUUUAUGAGUAAGAACAUUACAUCAGAAAGAAGAGAGCCCUGCAAUUUUUCUGAACUUCUCGUAGGAUACCCAGAAUACAAAUUGCCAUGGACCUAGCCGAGCCCAUGUCGGGAAGAAUCCUUUCCACAGUGCUUGAAUUCCUUCAACUUUAACUGUCUUUACCAAGCAAUCAAGAGAGCUAACAUACAAGACUUUCCCUUCCUUGGCCGCUUGAUUCAUCAUCCUAGUCUUCACGACAUCAGCUGGACAACUUAAAGAAGUUGCCGCAAGACCUGACAUGAUGGAAGCUAAUGUGUGGGCAUAAACAUUAUCAUCAGCUAUCCUGCUUCUGAUAACCAAUUGUUUGGCAUGAUCAUAGCAUGCUAAUUCUCCCAUGUUCACCAAGAACGCUCUUUGGACAUUAGGCAAAACACCCUUCCACAGCCCUUUCAAUCCUUCGGCUUGAACAAUCUUCCCAAAAGCAUCGAAUGGUCCCGAAUAUCGAGGUUGAAUACCGUGCCUUGCCAUACGGCCAUCAGCUUGCAUCCGCACCUUGACAAGAUCGGCUGGACUUGCUACAACCUGUAUAACUAAGAGUAAAAACCUUAUGGGUAAAACAAGGAAUAUUCCCAAAAAAUUGUAUCUACUGUUUGUUGGAACCAGGAAAUUCAUCACUGUAAGAUAGCAUUUUAUCACAAUGCGCGCCAUAUCCAUACCAUGUAGCUCUCACCUGAGCCAUGCAACCACUGAUUCCACCAACAAGAGCCUUGCUAAAGAUAGAGAGUGAAGCAUUAUCAGCUGAAACCACACUCCUCAUAUGUUCAUACCCGACAAUUCGAAUAGGUGUGUAGAAUAGGUGUCUUAUGAUUGCUGGAGACCAGCCUUUGUAAAGGCCAAGAGGACCUUGUUCACGGAUAAUUUCUGCUGCUAUUCGAACUGCACCAGUGGGUCGGCUUGAGGAAAGCGACUCACCAUGGAGUUGAAGCCUGGUCUUGAUCAGGUCAAUUGGGAAAGUUGUAGUCUCAGCCACCAUGGCUGACAGUGAAGUAAGUAAGAUCUUUGUGUGAGCAUUAUCACCUCCACCAUGUUGAUGGCCUGAUUUCAUGGCUAUAGGAUUCACGAAAAAAUACCUACAAGUCUGUUUUGAGGCAAUUGAGGAACCCACGAACUCAUGACAGUUAUGAGUUAAAUGAUAUCUUUUGGCUCUAAUGAUACCUGCACUUGGGAGAUACUCAUCAGAAACAAAGUCAUCUAGCAAAAUUCAUGUUACCGAUUUACAGCACCCAAACGAUUUGUUUUGAACCCUUCCGGGCGAUCAGAAACUCAUACGCAAUGAUUGAUAUACGAUAAUGAAUAUAGAAACCAUGCCAAAGAUUUUGCAUUGUUCUUAUAAAAUGCAGUGUUGCUCUGGUACUUGAAGGGUGAAACAAAAAAUAUUAUAUCAGUUGAGAAAUAUGGAUUGAGCAACUAUUCAUUGUUUUCCAGUUGCCACAUUUAUUUGCAAGAAAUUGAGAGUAAUACCAAAUUUUGCUCCAAAACAGAACCAAAAAGUGGGUUAUUGGAGUAGGAUCAUUUAACUCAAAUAUCAAAUUCAAUGCUUUGAUAAACUCAUAAUUAACUGGGAAAUCCAACUAAAAUUAUCAUAUAAACAUAAACAUCAAUGUGAGGCUCUUCCAUCUAAUUUAGUAGUAUAAACUAAUCAUCAACAAGAACAACACAGUCACAAUCUUCAAUCACCAAAAAACAGAGGACAAUUGGAUCCAGGCAUAAACAGGGUUCGACAAUUGUAUUCAAAAUCACCUUAAAAAGCAUUUGGGGCUGCUCAUGAUGACACAAUCGUUAAACUCAAGCGUGUUCCUUUUUCCUACCGUAGGAACAGUGAGAACCGAGAACAAUCAUAGAGAGUUAAAGAGAUGUAUUAUAAUACAGUAUAUUGUAAUAAAUGGUUCAAAUUUUCAUGUUAAAAUUGUGAACAAGGAGCAAUUGAGAAAAAUAAUAAUCGAAAAGGCAGCUUUCCGAAACCCUAAUUUCCUUUCCCAAAUAAACUUUUCCCUGACAUGUUUCUUAGAUCUGUUUUUGCCGGAAAAGGAAAAAAAAAGCGCUCACUAUCUUCUUGGUUUUUUUAUUUCAACUAUGAAUAAUCAAACUGCUAUAAAUGUAAUGCAAAAGAUUUUGGCAUCCAUGUAAAAAAUCCAAAUUAAUUGAGGAAAUAAAUAUCGUACUGUGCUCUUUAGAUUUUGGAUCUGGACCACUCUCAUGGAGAAAAUUCCAGGAAAUUGAGAAAAAAAGAGAGAAGAGAAUAGAACAAUUUUCUAAAUAUAUAAGACGGGAUAGUAGUACAAUUUUUUAAUUAAAAUUUUCAAUUCUUUAAAUUUUUUUUUCUCCUACAAAAGGGAAGUGUCAUUCUCGUUUGAACAUUUUCCCAAGAUUUCAUUUUCAUUUUUCACAAUUAUUACUACUUUUUCUUAUUUUAUUCUCUCUCUAUUAUUCUCUCUCUCUCUCUCUCUCUUCGCUUAAAACCCUAAUUCCCCUUUCUCUCUCCCUUCUCCCUUCUCUCUUUCUUUGCGUCCUUGGAGCUUCGAACGAACAACAGACUCUCCCUCUUCUACUCUCUCUCUCUCUGAUGGCGACAGAAGAAGAGAAGGAGAACAACAAGAAGAACCCUUACGGAGAAGGGUUGGGAACAGGAGGGAAGUUCCGAAAACGCCCCUUCCGAAGGACCCAAACGACGCCGUAUGAUCGUCCUCCCAACUCCCUCAGAAACCCUACAGCCGCCGCUCAAAGAAAUAAUGAAGGAUGGUUCUACAAGCUUAUCCGCGAUCCCGCACAACGCUUCAUCUUUGAAAGCGCCAACUCUUUCUUCUCCUCUAUCUUCCGCAAACGCCUUCCCCCACCUCCUCCUCCUCCUCCUCCCCCUACCAAUCCUCCUUCUCACCCUUCCUCCUCUAAAGGUUUGUUUUUUAUUCUUUUUCCUCCUUAUCUAAAUAACUAAUAUUUUGUUUAUUACUUUUAAUUGAAGGGUUUCUCAAUUCAUUCGUUUCAUUGCUUGUUUGUGAAUUGGUUGCUCUGUUUUGUAAUUUUUUAAUUCCUUGCCUAAAUUUUGUAAAUUUGAGUGGUUAUUCGUUUUUGGGUGUUUUUUCUUUUUGCUAUGCUUUUUGGGGUUUUGUUAUUUCACGAGGGGAACUUUUUAUGCGAGCUUUGGUUGCUGGCAUUGAAUGUUUUAAAUUAAUAAUUGAUUGUUGUCGUUUUCGUGGUGGUGUCUUCAGUUCCUUAAAGCGCUUAAAGGCGGAGGGUAGGUUACUGAUUGUUUUCAUCAUGCUCUUUUGAAGUAACCGAGUUAUUCAUUGUUGGUUUGAGCUUGGUUUGUUGAUUUGCCUAGAAGGAUAGAGCUUUAGUCUUCAUCGUUUAUGGAAAUAUUAAACAUAGUUCGUUGAAAGUGAAAGAGAAAUGGCAGACAAUAGAAUAUCCCGUUUACUGCGAUGAGUUUCCCCUUGCUAUCUUGUUCUACUUAAAUGUGAGAGAAAGUUUGUGCUUGCAGUCUCCAAUCAUGACUCUGCUGUCUGUAUUGCUGAUCAUAAGAUCUCAAACCCUUGUCCAUAAGAUCUCCAGUCAAAGACUAUUUCUUAGUGUUUGUCAUUUUCUUCUAAAAAUAGUGAUAAAUUGUUGCGAAACCGUGAUAUGGGUAAUAUUACAGAAAAUUAGUAUUCCGUUCGAGUCUUUGUCCUGAAGUGUUUUUUCUGCAACAAGUUUUCCCCAAACAAGUGUUUUGACCUCAAGUUUUUAACAUUUCAUUGGUGGAAGCUGGGGGAUUCUGAUGACUGUUUGAGCUGCAUUGCACUUGAACUAUUUUUUUGCUCUGGAAGCUAGGAAUAUAGCUCAAUAUGGAUCUAAAUCUGUUAACUUGUUUCAAAUUUCCCAUCCAAUAUUGCUCUUUUAUGCCCCUGGCAGAACAGUUGCUUUAUUUAUUGCGAGUUUUCUGUGAAUUUACCAAAUAUUUUGUUGGGUUGCUAUCGUCUGAAGUGAAAUAAAUUAAUAAAGUAAAUCACUAACUUACAAUUUACGGACUUUUUUUUUCAUUUUCUUUUUAGACACAGAAACAGAACAGGUAUUGCGGGAUAAUCAUCAAGAAGCUCCAUUUGUAAGUAUGCAUGCUUCUUAUAUGUUAAUUUUAUAAUAUGAUAUAACAUAAUUUGUGUGGUUGUUUUUUCCCCCCGGGUUUGCAAUGAUUUUGAACUAACAUGUAUUAGAACAUGCUUUUCUUUCUAACUAUAUACUGUAUUUUAGUGGCAUCUGAAGUUGAUAUUUUGUACCAAAUGAUAAUAAAUGAAUAAUAAAUUUGUAUCAGGUAAGUUAUGCCUGGUGUAUGGUUAAUUUUGUAGUUGGCACCAUUUUUUAAAUCCUCUCUCUGUAAUAUAAAAAUAAUUUUAAGAAUAGUAUUACUAUGUACUCAUUUGGUAUUUCUUUAUUUCAAUAGCUAAAUUUCAAUCUGGAUGUAAGGGGUUCCAUGAAAUGUUCAUUGGUAGCUCGAGGGGUAGCUUGUUGCAUAAUCAUUUUAAAUUUACAUUGGUUAUUGUUCUUGGAGGUGAACUGUUUAUUUCGCCCUGUACAUCAUUUUAAUUAUCAUAUUGAAUUUAGUUUUCCUAUAUAUUGUGUGGAAACAGGUUGGAAACAAUUCAUCUGGCAAGCAAUAUGUAGCACAUCAUGAAAGUGAUGUUCAGAUUAUUUGUUCUGAUGGAGAGAGUUUAUCUGAACUUGAGAAACUAUUAAGGCAGAAGACUUUCACCAGGUAAGUUUAUUAUUAGCAUGUGAAUGAGGAAUUAUUGUUUUCUUAGUAACUACCAGUUAGCUAGCUUGAUUCGUAUUUACCUCAUGGUUUAUGUGUUUGUAUAAUCAGUGAUCUUAUUUUAUAAAAAGCUUUAUACAUAACUUUUAGUUUUGAAAAUCAAUUUAAUUAACUUCUUUUGAAUUCUUCGUGCACUUUUGCAUUCUGUUGAUUUGCGCUUUUCGUAUAAUGGUUUUCUUUUACAGUUUUUUUUUUUCCGUUCAUAAGAUACAUCUGAUUCUACCUUACAUUUAUUGGCUGAUUUUGAUUUUAUCUUACAUUUAUUGUUUCUCUAUAUAUUUUUGUAUGUCCUGUGUAAAUUGAAGUUAACAUUUCAAUCGGUCUAAUUUCAUUCUUCCUGUUGCCUAUGUACGCCUGUACGGUGUAUUUUCUUUAUUUGGUUUUUUGUUUGAUAAAAUUUUACUGUUCCACAGAUCUGAGGUUGACCGGUUGACAGCACUUAUGCGGUCAAGAACUGAGGAUGCACCUGAUGCACCUACCCAAGAGGGUGAGGAGAGGAAAAAGGACAUUGCCAUGGAGCCAAGGUUGCCUUGCGAACCAAAGGAAGAGUAUCCCAAAACACUUCCUCUAGAUAAUGUUGAUAAGCAUCUUGCUGUAACCCCAUAUGCCACUUCAAGUGUAUGAUUACUUGUCCUCAUACUCUUUCCUUUGAUGCCAUCUAAUUGUGAUUUUGUUGAUAAACUACAGGCUUAUCAAUUGUGCUCCCUCUCACAUAGAUUGCUAUGUAAUGUCACUAGGUUCCUAUUGAGGAUGUUGCUUCACCUGCAGAGCUUGCAAAGGCAUACAUGGGGAGUAGGCCUUCCAAGGUUUCUGCAGCUAUGUUAGGUGUCCGAAGUACUGCUCGGAGGGAUGAUUUGACCUUCCCGAAAAGUGAAAAUUUCUCUCUUAGUUCAUCUGUUACAUCAAUUGUGCCGAGGAAUACUAGACAUGCUGCGGUUCAUGAAAAUGGUUUUGUGACCCCAAGAUCUCGUGGCCGGUCUGCAAUAUAUAGUAUGGCUCGGACACCUUAUUCCCGACCUUAUGUAACGUCAACCCUCAAGGUUUACCUUUUUCUCAAUGACACUUAAGAUUAUAAUAUCACUUGGAGAAAUUGUUAUAUCUGCUAUAUUUGUGUUUUCAGGGUGGUCGGCUUGCUGUUGAUGGUGAGCCGUCAUCAUCUACUCAGUCUGCAUUGGAUCGAGGCAUGCUUUCUGGAUCCAUACCCGGGGUAAAAGCACUAUUGGUUUUAUGCCCUUUUCUCUUGUGUUAUGCAUGUUACUAGAAUUCAUUUUGUUUUUAUUUCCCGACUUCUGCAGGCAUUAAAGCGUAGCAGUUUAACAUUGGAUAAUGAUAUAGGAUCUGUUGGUCCUAUACGCAGAGUCCGUCAAAAGUCUAAUCUUCUAUAUUCUAAAGGUAGCAGCUCUCUAUCUAUUGCUAGGAGUGGAGCUGGCGGUGAUUAUUCUCAGCAACCAUCAUCCUCAAGUCAGAAUCCUACUCUGAUGGAUGAGAACGUGAAUGACAGUAAGCCUGGUACGAGCUUCCCCGCUUUACCCACAAAAUCAAGUGAGAUGGCGUCAAAAAUACUCCAGCAGCUUGAUAAGUUGGUCUCCCCUAAAGAAAAAUCAUCUGAAUCAAGGCUAUCAACGGUGAAUGACAUAUCACCAAUGAAAUUGUCCCCUUCUAUGUUAAGAGGACAGGCGCUUCGUAGCAUGGAAACUGUAGAUUCAUCAAAAUUGCUGGAAAAUAUGCAAGAUAAUAAAUUAGAUGGAAAAGUUGGAAAUCUGUUUCCUGGUGCCCAGAAGUUAACCUUGCAGAAAGACACAGUUGAAAAUCGUCCGUUGAAGCUUAAUGCUCCUUCUGAUGUAGAUGCCACAAACCCAAAGAACCAAUUCAUGUCUAGUGCAAAGUCUGUUGAUUCUAGCAUGAUAAAUUCCGUUUCUUUCCAUCCACAGAAGAAGAGUGCAUUCCAUAUGAGUGCGCAAGAGGUAAGAGAACCAGUAUUACUUCCUAUUUGACUGUUUUAUAGUACAGACUAUGAUAUGAAGUGUUUUUAUUAUUUAGAGGUAUAGGUUGAACUUGGAUCAUUGAUUAUUCAAUAUUCUUGUCAUUCUUCACUCAGGAUUUCUUGGACCUGGAUGAUGAUGCAUAUCCUAAUGGGGCUGUCUCAUCUUUUCCUGCUGCUGAGAAAGAAACAAGUGGCUCAAUCGCUAUGGCAGAGAAAACUACCUCUCUGACAGGAUCUAAAAAUUUGGCAGUUGAUGGUGAAGGUUAUGUUGGGGCUGCUGCGACUAGGGUUGGUGAGAAGGUUGAUAUAUCAACAUCUAUAACACCAUCUAUCCCUGGGGCAAAUAAUCCAGUUACAGUUGGAAUUACAGAAGCUACAAAAAUAAGUUUUGGUUCUGAGAAACCUGCUUCCCCAAAUGGGUCUGUUGCUAAUCCUGCCAUGUUUAAUUUUGCUAGUAAUGUGGUUUCGUCCACUGCUACUGGUGCUCCAGCAGACAAUCUAACCAAAUCAGCUCCCAUAUUUGGUUUGGAAAAGGUUCCGCAAGUGCCAUUUAGUUCAUCAUCGCCUGGCGAAGGAUUCAGUCCUGUGAAGUUUGGUGCAUCUGACUCAAUGGCAGGAAACUUUGUCAGGUUAGUAUAUGUAAUUGGUUACACCCUUUUAGAGAGCCUCUACUGCAAUUCUUCAAUUUGUUUAUAUGUCUAUGUCAUUUUGUGUGGGGGUUUGUGAGAAAUUAUAGGAUGUUUUUAGGGAACAUGUUGAAUGCUGCACAUCUUAUUCACUGAAUGUCAUUUCAUCCUUAGUAGGUUGGAGAACCCCCUGCUAAUAGAAUUAUUAGUUAAUCAUAAUUUUCACUCUUAAAAGAAUAUAGAAAACUAGUGUUUUAUGCAUCCAACACAUCCUACUAGAUGCUGUAUGUCUGACUGUACUCCAUUUCUAGGUUUUACUAUAUUGUUUCUGUUGGAUGAAUUAGAUAAAAACUAUCAUAGCAAAUUUACGGCUAUGAUUUGGUGAGGUAAUAUGUCUUAGGCACUUAAUAUGUUUCUGUUACAUUUUGUUGGGGGAGAAAAAACCCAGCCUCUGAAUGAGUGAUCGCAUUGGGUCUUGGGAGUAUAUCUUUCCUUCAUUUUAUUGUCCUUUUUUAAAUUUUGGUCUAUGGUACUGUCUGAUUUCUGUAAUAUGUCAUAGCGAAUGUAGAUUGAACUGUUCUUUGGUAUCACAUCUUGUAUUUUGAAUGUGUUAAAAUGACUCGUGUAAUCUUCCUCUUGAUUGCAGUUCAACGACAGUUGCUGGUACAACUGAUUCUAGGCCCAAAGUUCGUGAGUCUGAAAAAGGUGGUACUGAGACCAACAAGGAUAUGGGAUUUUCUGUAAGGUCAUCUGGACCUGCUGUUUCUCCUGUCACAUCAACAUCACCCACAAGUAUAUUUACUUUUGGCCAGAGUUCAACAUCAAGUCAAAAUAAUGGGUCUAUUGCUUUAAGCCCACCAAUGUCUUCACCCUUUUCUUCUCUUGGAUCAAAUAAUUUUGCCAGUCAAAAUAUAUUCAGUAGCUCAUCCCUUGCAGCAAGCAGCACCAGCACUAGCAAUGCUGUUGCAUCUGCUGGCUCCAUAAUGACAACCAGUGCUGCUGCCAUGACUGCAUCAAACAAUUGCAGUUCUUCCACCCCGUUGGUGUCAUCUUCGACUUCAAGUUCAACUGCUUCCAUUUUCAAAUUUGGAUCCACUCCUUCCCUUUCAACAGGUUUUCCUGUAUCGUCUUCUGGCACAGAACCUCUGGAAACUAAGAGUAUUAAGGAUGGAGGAGUUGGUAAUCUUAGCAGUUCUGCCUUUUCUAGCUCAUCUGCUGCUGUUGGAAGCACUGGUAGUGGCAUUUUUGGGGUCAGCUCUUCGUCAAAUAGUCAGUCUCAGGGUUCUGUUCUAGGUGCUACUGUUAGCAGUGGUUCGAUUCUUGGUGCUCAGGUGUCUCCUGAUAAUAGUCAGUUUGCGGCUUCUACACAGAGCCAACCUCUUUCAUUUGGUUCAUCUGCAUCAACUCCAUCCUUUGGGUUGGCUGGGAGUACAACCUCUUCAGGGAGUUCUUUGUUUACUUCAUCGAGUGCUGGCACCACAAGUACUGGUUUUACUUCUGGGAGUUUGUUUGGUUCAUCUGGAUCGUCUCCAUCCUUUGGGUUAACUGGGAGUGCAGGCUCUUCAGGUAGUUCUUUGUUCACCUCAUCCGCUACUGCCACAGGUACAGCUUUUCCUUCUGUGGGUUCAUUUGGUUCAUCUGCAGCAAUCCCAUCCUUUGGGUUGACUGAGAGUACAGCCUCCUCGGGAAGUUCUUUUUUUACUUCCUCCAGUGCAGCCACAAAUUCAUCCUUUUCUUCCGGGGGUUCAUUGUUUUCUUCCUCAAGUCCUGCCACAAAUAUUUUCAAUUCUGGUUCGACUUUUGGACUUGGUGCCUCGGCUUCAUCCUCAGCAGCCAACUCUAAUAGCUCCAAUGGUGGUACAAGCACUGGUUUGUUUGGUUCUUCUACAUGGCAGCCCAACAACUCGCCAUUUGGUUCCACAUUUAGUUCAUCAUCUUCGACCGGCUUCUCCUUUGGAGCAUCUGCCAUUUCUGCUGCUUCUAGCAGUUCACCCUUUGGAGCAUCCACUGGUUCUGUUAUGUCUACCAGUUCACCUUCGAUGUUUUUAUCAACCAACAAUGCAUCAACUCCUCAAUUCUCAUUCACUUCAGCUGCAGCCUCUACCUCCAGUCAGAAUGCCUUUGGAACUCCUAACCCUGUCUUCUCAUUUGGUUCCACUCCUGUUAAUAAUAAUGAUCAGAUGAGUAUGGAGGACAGUAUGGCUGAGGACACAGUUCAAGCUACUCCACCAGGGCCGGCAGCUCCUAUAUUCGGUCAGCAACCUCCACCAGCUCAGUCAAAUUUUGUAUUUGGAGCAUCAACUCCAUCAGGAGCCAGUCCUUUCCAGUUUGGUCAGAAUACUGCUCCACAGAGCCCUUCUCCAUUUCAGGCCUCUGGCAGUCAAGAGUUCAACGCAGGUGGGAGUUUCUCAUUGGGCACGGGUGGCGGUGACAAGGCUGGUCGACGGAUGGUGAGAGUUAAGAACAAGAUGCGGAAGAAGUAAGACUACUUUGUUUAUGAAGAUGGUAACUUCUGCACUGCUGUGGUGCUGCAGACCUGCACCAUACAACAAAUAAACAUGCUCCAAAGAGUGAUUGCGGGAUAUUGCUGUUGGCUUUGCAAUAUGAAAGUGCUAUUGAAAGCUAAUCAAGAUUUGCAGGCUUUUCAGAGUCUUCUUUCUCCCUUCCUUACUUCCUUAUUCUUAUAGAAUGAAAGGCUAAGUUUUCCCAAUUUUGUAACAGUAAUAUGGUGAAACAAUGUGCUGAACUGUAAUGGUUUUAGGUCAGAGUUGAUGUCUUGGUCAGUUAUCAUGUUCACAAAGAUCCCUGUAUUGUCCUUAUUUGUAACAUAAUCAGAGUUAGGUAUGGAUUUAUGUCUUUGCUGGUUGUAACUUUGCAGUUCCAAGUGAGCAACCUGUGAAAUGAUUAUAACCGCUAGGCGUUCUGGUCUUUGUUUUGCCAUUUAUUUUGCGAGAAUGCACGGUUCUCUUCUUGAUUUUGAGUCCACAAUUGAGUUUCGUUAUCAUUUUUUCCUAUUAAGCUAAAUUAAAUCCUCAUGAAAAAGGGAUUUAGCAAAUAUUUGAAUGCUAAAUUCGUUUAAAUGUCUUCGAACUAGUGUGAAUAUAUUUAACUUUGUUAUAUGUAGGUCAUGAAUUAGUUUCUAUCAUUGAUUAUAUAUUCUUUGUAGGGUUGUUCCGAUUUUGUGAAUAUAUUUAACUUUGUUAUAUGUAGGUCAUGAAUUAGUUUCUAUCAUUGAUUAUAUAUUCUUUGUAGGGUUGUUCCGAUUUUUUACUUAAUGACAACGUAAUAUAUAGUAAAUUAUGAUUUGAGAAGCACAUUUGUGAACUAUUCUGGACAUGAUUUAUUAUUUUGAUUACUACCAAAUGAAAAUUUUCUUGUAGCCAACACAAUUUGUUUUUCCUUCCUAGUGAUAUGGUGUGCUGUUAUUGUAAACACGACCCGGGGGUAAGGGAACCCUUGCCUCGCUUCCUUGACUUCUCCCACCUGAUAAUGACAUGGUUCCUUCUCUAUCGUGUUUAUUAUACUUGAUAGCACCAUGGAACAUACUAUUUGCUUCCGCAGUGAAUGUUGAAGGACUUGUAAAGCCAUGGGCAUCUGGCACCGGCACCUUCAUAUGGGGUGAGUAGUUUCUUUUACUUUCUUGAUACUGAUUUAAUCGCGCCUGAAGUUCCUUACGAAGAAACUCUUCUCGUCGAGUUGCUUGUAGAUUUCUUAGUGUAGACAACUUCUCAUGGUACUCUUUGUUUAUCUCAAGUAUUCUCUGCCACAACAUGCAUCAAAUUUAAGAUAGGCAAAGAAUCUUAUCAACAAGCAUAAGCAUAUAACUUGUUUAAACCAAAUUCAUUUCAUCAACUGACUGAAUUGACAUGACAAUUUGUUUUCAUGAUAUCUUUGUUUUUACUGGGGAGAUUGUUUUAAAAUAGAAAAUGAUCAAAGUUAAUACUCUAACCCCAAAGAAAGAUUAAUAUUAUGGACUACUCUAAUAAAGACUCUUCCUUUCUUUGUUUUCUCUAAUAUAACACUAUCUAUUAAAUACCAACCUCGGUAUGCCUCGCAAAUUCUGCGUCCUCUGCAUCACUCCGUUCUCUGGCUAGUUUUGUGAUUUCAUCUAUAAAUCUUUGUUCAAGGCCCUCAUAAGUUGGUGGUGGAGGGGUGCCCUCUUCGUAUCCAAUUUCCAUGUCUUGUUCAUGACUUUGGUCGAUUUGUUGUGCGGCUUGAUUCAGUUGGCUAAACUUGGCAUCAACUGUCUCAUCCUGUAUGUAGGACCUUACCUCAAUGUCCCCUUGAACUGCAUCAUAUAAUUUGCAAUGUAUAACACAAUUCUGCUACUAUACAUUAAAACAUAAAUAGUAGCUAAGUUAGAUCAAUUCUAGUGCAAUAUUUGUAAGCAAAUUCUUUCAAUCCAAUAGAAAAGUUAAACAGUCCUAUAAAUAACUACUGAUUUUUAUUUUUUGAAUCUCGAGUACACUCGAUUGCAAGUACACAGUAACACAGCCAUCUCCAUACCCAAACCUAGUAGGUUAGACCAAUGAAUCUGCACACAGCUCAUGACAUCAUAGAGUAAGGUGUUACUAUCCAAAGAAACUUCCUAUUUUGCUGCACACAGUGCAUUCCUUCAAAUUUUUUACAUCCAAAAUCGAUCCUACAUCAGCUACCCCUUAGCAGAUAUUUUAAGAUUCAACUAGUUCAGUUAAAUACAUAAAGGUACAGAUAAAAAUUACAUAGCUCACAAGGAUGUACUUAAACAGCAUUAGUUGAUAAUACAUGCUCUCAAUCAUUCAGAUACCAUACUUACCUUCGCCAUAUGGAGGAACUGGCAAGCCAUAUACGCUUGAUCUAUAUUUAUUGCUCGGCAAAUAAACCUCUACACUUGAAGUUUUAUUCUCAGUAGAAAACAACUUUGGCUGUCCUGUAAGAUAGUUUCUUACAGAGUUCUGCAUUCCGAGUUUUGAAUUCGAAGGAAGUUUACAGAAUGGAUUGAGAAUCAACAGAACGUGCUUGUAGUUUUAUUCCUAGUUUUAUUCCUUCUUCGCCACUAAGCUUGAUUGCUUGAAUCCAGAAACCUAAAUCUGAAAUAACAGCAAUCAAAUGUGAGAAAUAUCAAAACAAGAAUGAAGUUUCAAAGCCAUCAAUGAGAGAUGGCCCCAGGAAUGAAUUGUUCCGGAAUCUCUCUACAAAUCCCUAUGAUCCACAAGAUUUACAUUCACCAGAACAGUUCUGAAUUAGAAUAAUUCUCUUUGAUGCAUACAUCCUUAUCCUAACAUUAUCUACUCAUUUAAUGCAACAUAUUAUCUCAAUAAAAAAAUGAACUUUAUCCUAUCACAGUUUCAGGUUUCAUUUCCUAAUUCUCAAACUAGGAAAUACAAUUUCCCUAUCACAGUAAAAAAUUGAACUUUUAUCAUAAAAUGUGGGUGCCCUAAAAAAUUAACACGAGGCUAAAAUGUUUCUUGUUUUUCUUUCUCAUCUUCAAGUAUUUAACUAACCAAAUUAAGCUUAAGAAAUAAUUGCUCAAUUAACAUGGAUCAAAUUCAAAUAGCAGAGUCCCAAAAACAGUUUUUGAUCACACAAAUUAAACCAAUUAAAAUAAGGAAAGAAAAAAAAAUUAAAAAAAUAAAAUGAGAAAAGCAUGCCUGAGUGGGUCGUAGCGUUUCUCUUAAUCUUCGAAUUUUCAAUGUUUGUGCGAAGAAAAAACGUGAGGAGUGUGAAUUAUGAAACGAAACUAGACACAGAAAAAUAUAGAGCUACAAGGACCAGGGUUUUAUCAUUUAUCGCUGGUUUAUAUUGUAUGAAUAUNUUACACAUUUUACAUUUCAACUUCAUAAAUUUAUUAUUCACUAUGGCUGUAUAAAAAUAUGUGAAUGGUAAUAGACCAUUAUCUGAACCAAACUAUAGGAAUGAGCAACUUCAAUGGGAAAUUCUUUCUGAUUCUCAUUUAAAGCCUAUUUGUCAUAAAAAAAUAAUUUAUAUAAUUAUCUGCUUUAUAAAAAAUAAAUAAAGACUAAAUGUGCGAGUCUCUUCUUCAAUAAAAAAAAAAGACAAUUUCAAUUUUUAUUGUGAUUCUAUAUUUAAUUAAGAAUUAUGCUAUACAUACAAGUUUUUUUUGCUUAUAAGUCUUAGACUGUGUUUAAUUUAGUGUUAGAAAGAAGAGAAAUACGUUUGAGUGCAUUGAACGCUUUCUCUUUAUGUUUGGAUAUUUUUUUUUCUCUAAAACGCCAACUAUUUUUGCUUUUGAUAUAAAAAUAUAUUUUGCCAAUUUUUAUAUAUUAUUUUUAUUUUAGUAAGUAAAUAUUAAUUUUAUUACAAAAUUAAUUAAUAAUAUCUAUUUAAAUAUCUAAAUUAAAAUAAUAAAAUAAUAUAAAAAAUUUAUUUAAGUUGAUAUCUAUUUUAGUAAUUUUUUAUCUAAAAAUAAUUUUAAGUAGUGUAAUCUAAACAAUAUUUACUUUACUAUAAUCCAUUUUGAUAUAAAGAUUACCAAACAUAAAUCAUUUUAACACAAACUUACUUUUCAUCAAAAUCAAGUUUGUAAAAUCAAUGUUAUACAAAGUCCCAUUUACAAAAUGAAAUCCAAACACGCACACUUACAAGUUGAGUCAAGUCUAACAAAAACUACAUUCACCGUGAUAACACGCGCAUCACUCAACCGUUUCUCUCACUCACCAUUAUGGAACACACUUCUUCUUCACGUUCCUUCUUCUCCUCCUCCUCUUCCUUCUUCUUCUUCUUCUUUGCGUUUCUCCUCCUUUUUCUUGGCGUGUUUCAUUUUCAUUGUUGUUUUUUUUAUUACGGUUGUUGUUGCUGCAUUUUUUCUCCUCUUUCUAUUAAUUUUGUAAUAUUAUGUAUUUUUUUUCUUCUUUGUUUGAUUUUUUCUCUCAAGAAAAAUUAUAAGAAAAGAAAUAAGGAGAUGAGGAAGAAGAAUCAGUAGAAGAUGAGGAGGAGGAAGAGGAAGAAUUUUAAAUUAUGCAGAAUUUAUCAGAAUAAAAUUACACCUAAAAAUUUCUAAAAUACUCCCAAAUAUUUUCGUGUUACACCCAAAUAUUUUCGUGUGACAUCCAAAUUUGCUACAAAUACAGAAAAUAUUUUCUCUAAUGCUGCAUUUUUUUCUUCUUUUUUUCUUUAUUUCUUUCUUUCUUUUAGUUAAAUGAAUGUAAGUUCAUCAUCUUCCAAAUAAUUUUGCAGCAUUAUGUGUUUCUUCUUCUUCUUUGUUUGAUUUUUUGUUUUUAUUCUUGUUAAGAGAGUAAAAUAAAAAGAAACUUGAGAAGAUAAAAUAAAAAGAAAAAGAUGAAUAAAAAAAAGAAGAAGAAGACGGUGAUGAUGAUAAAUAAAAAAAAGAAGAAGCAAUAGAAGAUGAGGAGGAAGAAAAGGAAGAGUUUUGAAUUAUGCAGAAAUUAUCAGAAUAAAAAUACACCCAAAAAUUCUUAAAAGACACCCAAAUAUCUUCUUGUUACACCUAAAUAUCUUCGUAUUAUACCCAAAUUUGCUGCAGAAAAAUGUUUCCUCUAAUGUUAUAUUUUUUCUUCUGAAUUGAACCACACAUUAGCCACUUGAUUGGAUUCAAAACAAUAAUUAAUUUCGUUCUGGUUCAAUUGACAAUUUGAACCUGAAUUAUUUAUUAUCUUUAACAAUGAGAUAACUAAUGAUGGAUGAGAAAGAAAAAAAGAAAAGAGGAGAAGAAAUUCCAAUGAAAAAAGGAGGAAUAGGAGCAGGAGAAAGAGGUGGUGUUGAUGACAACGAUAAUGAGAGAAAAGGCACAGAGAAAAAUGUAAAAACGCGUGAAUAUAAAUUACUUGUAUGACUUGUAUGGAAAAAUACUUGUAUGUGAAGAAUAACUCUUUAAUUAAUUAAGAUAAAGAUAAAAUAAUUUAGUUUUAAAAUGUUUUAUUUAAUUAAGAUGAUGAUUGUUUUUAACAAAUAAAUAGCCUUGUAAAUUUUAACUAAUGAUCAAACAGGUUCUCUUAUAUAUAAAAUUGUUUGUAAUUUUUGGAUGUUUGACAUGGUUUUUAUGUGAACUUUGUUGAUAUCAGGUUAAAAAAUACAAACAUUUAAAGAGAGCCUAGUGAUUGAAAGAAAGGGAGAAUUUCAAAUCAAAGAAAAUGUCAAAGAGAAGUUUCAAAAACUCUUUUUAAUUCUUUUUUAAUUCAUUUCAUAAUGUUUGUCAUUAAGGGAGAGAUUAUUGAGUUUGAAGAACUAACAAUAUAUUAUAGAUAAUGACUAAAUAUUAUUAUUGGGUUAAAAAAUCAAUUAUAUUUGUGAUUAGUUUGUUAAGUGUGUUAGAAAUUAAAUUGAUAAAAUAGGCCCAACAAACUAAUUAAGCCCAACAUUGAUUCAACUUAAACAAGUAUUCAUACNNNNNNNNNNNNNNNNNNNNNNNNNNNNNNNNNNNNNNNNNNNNNNNNNNNNNNNNNNNNNNNNNNNNNNNNNNNNNNNNNNNNNNNNNNNNNNNNNNNNNNNNNNNNNNNNNNNNNNNNNNNNNNNNNNNNNNNNNNNNNNNNNNNNNNNNNNNNNNNNNNNNNNNNNNNNNNNNNNNNNNNNNNNNNNNNNNNNNNNNNNNNNNNNNNNNNNNNNAAUAUCACUCUUUUUUUUUUUUUUUGAACAAAAGAACUCAACACGGUAAAGUGGAACACAGAAACAAAAGACUCAAACUACAAAGUAAUAAAGUAACCUGAAUACAAUCCCUAUUGUUACCUUUGGCAUUACCAUCAACAACAAAAGGGAUCCACACUACUCCACUCUCUAUAAUUGGUCAAAGAUUUGUGAAACAACUGUUGUACAUUGGCUUUCUUGUUAUUAAAUAUCCGUCCGUUCCUCUCAAUCCAUACAUUCCAUAUAAUUACAAAAAAUCCUAUGUGCCACUUGUUGCACUCGUCCUUCCUGCUACUGACACCUGUCCAACUCUCAAUCCAAAGAAUGAGUGGCUGAACUAUAGGAAAGAAGGGAAGAAAGAGUAUGGCCCAAGAACAAUUACAAAUCUAAAUUAGUGGUCAAGCCCAUUCACUUGAUUGCUAACUAAAGAGAAUGAGUUUCUUUUGUUUCUGAACCAUAUCACCUCAUCAUUGAAACCAAACUCUCUAUUCUCUCUCAUCCCUCUCUUCCAACACCCACGUGAAAGCUCCGAAGAAAAUAAAAAAAAAAGAAGCUCUUGGUAAAAUUAAAGAACAAAAGGGAGUUACCAAAUCUAAGCAAGAAGAGGAAAUCAUGAAGGCUAGGACUAAAGGCAAAAAUCAUAUCCGAAGGACAAAUCACAAAAAGUAUUUUUACAUUUGUGCUUUAUUGAAGUUCGGCGAAGAAAUCUUCUCCUUGCAUACACAGAAGUGGAAAGUUGAAAACAUUAAAGAUGAUGAAACUCUGCUAUGAAUCAACGUUCAAAAAUCAAACUUGGAGGCAAAACAAGAAUGAAAGAGAAGAUAGAAGGUAAGGAUGCAUGUAUGAUUCAGUCACUGCCUCUACUCUAUCUCUCCUCUAUGAUGCCGCUACUGCUUCUGAUUUUUGUGGGAGCAGAAGUCAAACAUGUGCUGAAGCAAAAUUUCAGUUUUGGAAGCUUCACUCCUCUAUUAAAUAGGUAAACGGUCAAGGAUUGAGGCAAGGAGUGAGAGCACUAAGUUUGGUUGAUAUAGCUUACAAAACUAUUACCAUUCUUCUCUUUCAUGGUUCUCAUUCAAUAUCUUAUUUUUUUUGUCUAGUCUUUCUUUGUUUUCAAUGAUAAAAAGUAUAAUAGUGAGGUAUUAAUAAAAUGAAAAGAGUACAAAAAGAGUACGUAAAGAUAAUAAAAUUGUGAAAGAAUAAAGAAAGAAAAGAAAAGAUGAAGAAAUUUUAUUGAUUGUUGAUUUAUUGUUAUAAACUAUGAAGGUAAAACUAAAUAUAUAUAGAGUGUUGGCCUAUGAAAGAUAAAAGCAAAUAAAGAUAAGAUAAGGAUAAAUAAAGAUAGGAUAAUAAUAAAGAGUAAAAUUAUAACUGAAUUUGUGUAUUCUGUUGGGCUGAAUUUGUGGACCGUGAGACUUCUUUAUUGUUGUCAUGGGCUAAGGUGCAAGAGUGGUUUAAUAUGCCCCCGCAAGCUUGAAGAUGAAAGAUGUCAAGAACACCAAGCUUAUUCAGAUUAAGAUGGAAAGGUUGAGAAGACAAAGGCUUGGUGAAGAUGUCAACUAGCUGCCCAGAAGAGAAAAUAGGGAGAAGUUUCAGCGCUCCAGUUUAAGCUUUUUGUCGAACCAAGUGACAAUCAACCUCUAAAUGUUUGGUCUGUUCAUGAAAAAUCGGGUUAGCAGUAAUAUGAAGAGUACUCUGAUUAUCACAAUAUAAAACUGGUGGGCGGAUAGGAGAGAUGCGUAAAAAUUGUAGCACAUUUAGUAUCCAUUGAAGUUCACAAGUUGUGUUAGCAAGUGCACGAUAUUCUGCUUCAGUGGACGAGCGGGCAAUGGUGGUUUGUUUCUUGGUCUUCCAAGAGAUUAAAGAACUGCCUAAGAAGAAACAAUAACAUGUUAAAGAUUGCCGAGUGUCAAGACAUCCGACCCAAUCAGAGUCACUAAAGCCGAGAAGUUGAAUUUCUGAUUCUCUUGGAAAAAAAGUCCUUUGCCGGGGCUGGCUAGUUUUCAGAUAUCGUAACAUAUGCUUGGCAGCUUGAAGAUGAGAUUUAGUAGGAGAUGCCAUAAAUUGACUUAAUUGUUGAGUGGCAUACAUGAUGUCCGGUCAAGUAGUGAUGAGAUAGAUAAGACGCCCAACCAAACGGCGAUAUACAAAAGGGUCAGAUAGCAGGAGACUUUUGUCUUGAUAUAAUCUUGUGGUACUAUCCAUUAGAACAGAGGCAGGUUUAGCACUUAAUAAACCAAAAUCCUCCAAAAGAUCAAUACAAUAUUUUCUCUGAGAUAAGCAAAUUUCCUUCGGUGAUUGAGCAACCUCAAUACCCAAAAAAUGUUUUAAUGAGCCCAAGUCUUUAAUUCGGAAGUGUUGGUGCAAAAUAGACUUAAUGGAAGCAAGUUCAGAAAUGGAAUUACCAGUGAGAACAAUGUCGUCAACAUAGAAUAGAAGGAUAGAAAUUUGAGCACCAGUGAAUUUAACAAAUAAACUAUAAUCAGAUAAGGUCUGCUGAUAUCCAUGAGAUAGCAAAAGAUAAGAAAUUUUGUCAUACCACAUGCGACUAGAUUGUUGUAAACCAUACAGUGACUUUAGUAGCUUGCAGCAUUGAUUCGGUCGAGGAGAUAUAAAUCUGGGUGGCAGAGUCAUAUAAACUUCCUUAGAAAGAUCCCCAUGUAAGAAAGCAUUAUUGACAUGCAUCCAACUGAUGUAUGGGCCAAUGCUUCAUAGAUGCCAAUGCCAAAACUAAUCUGAUGGUGGCAGGCUUGACAACAGGGGAGAAAGUUUCCAAGAAAUCAACACCUUCAGUUUGAAUGAAUCCUUUAGCCACAAGGCGUACUUUAUAUCGAUCAACUGAACCAUAAAGCUUGCGUUUGAUGCGAUAGACCCAUUUACAGCCAAUCGGCUUAACGCCUGCAGGGCAAUCAACAAGAUGCCAAGUUUUGUUCAGCUCAAGAGCAUCCAGCUCAUCUUUCAUAGAACUACGCCAAUUAGAGUGUUGAUUGGCAUCCUUACAAGACUUUGCCUCAACGUCAGAAUGUAGAGAUAAAAGAAACUUUUAUGUGAAGAUGAAAGAGAAGAAAAAGACAUGACUGAAGAUAAAGGAUACUUGCACUUUGAGGGAGAUUGAUUUGUAGAGGUGAGAGAGAAAUUGCACAAGUAAUCAGAGAGAUAUGCUGGAGGUCGGUGAGGCCGAUCAGAAUGACAAGGAUGGGGUUGCUCAGGUGGUGAAGAAGGUGACGGGGGAUGAGGAGGUGAUGGUGGACUGGUGUCUAGUGCGGAAGGAGAGAAGGGUGUGUGUGUUGAAAGAGAUUCGGUGGUUAUGGGUUCAACUUUGUUAGGAAACGUUAGUGAGAAAGAAGGAGAGAUUGUUGGAGAAAAUAAAGAAUUAGAUGGAGUUGGGUCAAUGGGUAUAGGUGAGGGUUCAACUGGAAGACUAACUGAAUCUUGUUUUUGAGAAGGCGUGUUUGGCAAUGUUGGGUUGAGUGUAUGAAAUUGGACAUUUUUUGUGACUAAGGGCAAGAUCAUUUCAUAAAAUUAAAGAUCACAUUUCUAGAAAUUUCAAUUCUUUUAUCUUCUAAAACAUAAACAAUAUAUCCUUUAAAACCAUGUUGAAAGCCAAUAAACACAACUUUUUUGGCUCUUGGAUCAAAUUUUGAUCAGUUUGCCAUUAGGAUAGAAACAAAACAUAAGCAUCCAAAAACUUUAAGGUCAUGAUAAUUUGGUGGAUGAUUGAAUAAAAUCUCAAAUGGUGUUUUAAAAUUAAUUGCGGAUGAUGAAACUCUGUUAAAUAAAUAAACAGCAUGUUUAACAGCAUAAGACCAAAAAGAUGAUAGUAAAUUAGAUUGAAACAUAAGAGCACGAGCUAUAUUCAAAAUAUGUUGAUGCUUGUAUUCUACCCUUUCAUUUUGUUGAGGAGUUUCAACACAACUAUGUUGAUGAAUAAUGCCCUUUGAAGCAUAAAAAUCAUGUAAAAUAAAUUCUGGUCCAUUAUCGGAGCGAAUAGUUUUGACUUUAGAGUUGAAUUGUGUUUCAACUACAGUAAUAAAAUUUUUACAUGAUUUUGCACUUCUCCUUUUGAUUUUAAUAGAAUAACCCAUGUAAAGCGGCUAAAAUCAUCAACAAUAGUAAAAAAAUAUUUAUGAUUAUGAAUAGAAUUUUGUCGAAACGGACCUCAAAUAUCAAAAUGUAAUAAAUCAAAAACUUGCAUUGGCUUUGUUAAAACUUUGAGAAAAUGAAAGUUUCUUUUGUUUAGAAAGAUGACAAAUGUCACAAGCCUCGUCAUGAUGCAUAGAGAUAAAAAAAAUGUUUAUGUAAAUGAUUAAGUCUUUCUCCAGAAAGGUGUCUUAAACGAAAAUGCCAUAUAUUUGAAGGUAUAAUGGGUGGAGAUUGGAUAGAACUUAUGAAAUGUGUAGUGGAUGGAUUUUUACCGAAAUCGGGUUCAGAGACAUAUAAUCCCUCUCUCAUUCUUCCCAAAUCAAUCGUCCCCAAAUUGUUGCUCUGUAGAGUGCAAGAAGAAGAUGAAAAAGUGAGUUCACAUAUGAGUGCUGAAGUAAUUUUUGAGACAGACAUAAUAUUAAAGUUGAAAUGAGGUAAAUAAAGAACAUCAUGAAAAACCAAGGAUGGUGAAAAUUGAACAAUGCCUUUAUAAGAAACAGUAAUUUGAGAACCAUUUGGUAAAUGAACAAUAAUAGAAGAAAUUUGUGUGUAAGAAAUAAACCAAGACAAAUUUGAUGCAAUGUGAUCUGUGGCACCAGAAUCAAUAAUCCAAGUGUUCAAGAAUGAAUCUCGAUUUGAAAAAUUGUUAACAAUAAAAAAAGUAUUGAAAGAACAAAGAUAAUGAGUAAUUGGACUUGACAAAAGCUCAAGUUGGUUUGAAGGACGAGUUUCUUUAUUGGAAGGAAGUGCCAUGAAAGAAAAGUGCUGGGCUGACAAAAGGUCCAAAAGAAGCCCCUAAUGAAAUUGCUCGUGUGCCCUUCUCCUUGACCUAGGACAGAGUAUGGAGGUUGAUUAUUCAUAGUGGGAGCGGAGGUUAAAGGGGUUUUAGGAUCUGAAUUGGUUGGUUUAUACAUAGAUGUCAGCAGAGCUCAAAAGGAGCUCUGAUACCAUAAUAAAACAGAAAGAGUACAUAAAAAGUAUGCAAAGAUAAUAAAAUUGUGAAAGAAUAAGGAAAGAAAAGAAAAUAUAUAGAAAUUUUAUUGAUUGUUGAUUGAUUGAAAUUAUAAACUAUGAAGGUAAAACUAAAUAUAUAUAGAGCACUGGCCUAUGAAAGAUAAAAGCAAAUAAAGAUAAGAUAAUAAUAAAUACUAAAAUUAUAACUGAAUUUGUGUAUUUUGUUGGGCUGAAUUUGUGGGUCGUGAGACUUCUUUAUUGUUGUCAUGGACUAAAGUGGAAAAGUGGUUUAAUAGGUAUGUAAGAAAAAGUCAUUGAGUGAAAAAAGACAAGAGAGUUAGACUUGGAGAAAAGCCUAUGUUUAUCUUAAAAAUUUUUUGUAUAUAUUUCUGUUUUGUUGUCAUGAUCGUGAAGGGAUUCCUUUACAAGUUGGGUGAGCAUUUUGCUGUUGAAAGAUAGGGUGAAGUUCCUAGUCAAAUCUGGUUUGGGUUAGAAACCGAAUUUGUCCCAAAUAGAAUUGAGUAAAAUCUUAGGAAAAAUUGGUGAAUGUAAUCUUAUUCAAAGAUAGUGAAAUUCCGUCAUUAUUGUGAUGGAGAUUGUAUGUAGGUUAUAUUGUACUAAACAGCUGAAUUAGGAUAUAUCACUGUGUUACUUCUCUUUCUCUUCUCUGUAUCUGGUUCUGCACUUUAGAAGACAAAACAAAAUUAUCUCCUGAUUAUUUUAUCCAGCUAUACUUUACAAAAAUACACCUUGCACGUAACUUUGUUUUGGCUCUUCCUUCUACAAGAGAUAAAAUAAAAUCUCUUCCUUCGAUAAGAGACAAAAUAAAAUAAUCUCCUAUUUUUUACCUGAGGUAGCAGUACAAAAUCCAGAAGUUUCAUCCAAUUCCAAGAUUAAUCAAGUAAAGUAAAAAAAGGCCAAAAUUUAAUUCCCCUUCUCUUAACCUAUGAUAUCCAUCAAAGACUAAAUGUGUCCGUCUCUUCUUCGGUAAAAAAAAUGGCAAUCUCAGUUUUCAUUGUGAUUCCAUAUUUAAUUAAUUAAGAUAAAGAUAAAAUAAUUUAAUUUUAAAAUUUUUUNNNNNNNNNNNNNNNNNNNNNNNNNNNNNNNNNNNNNNNNNNNNNNNNNNNNNNNNNNNNNNNNNNNNNNNNNNNNNNNNNNNNNNNNNNNNNNNNNNNNNNNNNNNNNNNNNNNNNNNNNNNNNNNNNNNNNNNNNNNNNNNNNNNNNNNNNNNNNNNNNNNNNNNNNNNNNNNNNNNNNNNNNNNNNNNNNNNNNNNNNNNNNNNNNNNNNNNNNNAUCAUAAUUAACAAUUAAAAAAUAAAACAUAAAAAAUACAUAUAUAAUCACUAAAACAAUAUUUUUUUUUAUUUGUUAUUGUUUAACAGUUAGCAUUGGUAAAAUUUAGUUGAAAAUUUAUUUUAAGUUCCUCUUUAAAAAAGAGAGACUUCACAUUUUUAUUUGAGAGAAGUCAAUUAUGCAAAGAAUUAUAUUUCUUCUCAUUCAAAACACCUGGCAAAAAAUUUUAGAAGGAUACACGACUCUUUGUAAAGUAAUAUUUGAAAAAGCGAUUAAGCAUUUCUUCUUGAUCUCUAUUGAUCCACCUAUGAAGAGUGGAGGAAUAGCUGCUUUUGAGCAUAUUGAUUCAAUAAACAAAAUUUCUCAAUUUAAUUAUCUGUGAUUGUGUUUUAUCAACGAAUUUUUCUACCACACAAAGAUUCAUUAAACAAGUCAUAAAAACCUUACUGUAUUUAUCGGAGUUUCUAACCCUUUGUUAAAAUGAAUGUUUUAGUAGUCUUAUUGGUUAGGAAACUAAUUUUGAAGUAGGUUCUAUGAAUGUAAAUGAAUGACAAGAGAAAGUUUCGAAAGUCAGCACUUUCAUUAAAAUCUAGUCAUUAUUUAACUAUAAAAAAAGAGUAUGUAAUUACGAUGAUAAAUUUAUACGUACCGAUACGUUUAAAAUAUGGAUAAAUAACAAUAAGACAUCUGAAAAAUUUUCACGUCAGCAUUUUAUUUUUUCUUUUUUAAAUAUAUAGUAUAUCACUACUUUUACUAAAACACCUUUUAAUUAAAUAAAAAUAAAAAAUAUUUAUUUAUUUACGUUCCCGCUCUCUCCUUCUCUCAUUCUCUCUGAGAGUACGGAGUAAUUUGAUAAUGUGUUAUAAUUUGUACCCUUACUUUAUUUGAUUAGACAAAAAUACCUUUUUAAAUUAAUUAAAUUUUAGAAUUCAAUUAAUUCUAAUUUUAUAGUUUCAAAUAAUUGAAACAACAAAAUAAAAACAUAUUAAAAAAAUAAAAAAUCAAAAUUGUUCUUUAUCUGUGUUAAACAUAUUAAAAAAAAACCAAAAUUGUUCUUCAUCUCGUUCAGAAAUCUUCUCGUUCACGCCUCUGAAGGUUUCAGUCUUCUUCAUCUUCUUCUCUCCUCUUCCUAUCCUCUUUGCUCCUCGAUCUCUCUCAUCUGUCUCACUGUGUGUGCAAGACGCCAUUGUUUUGCUGGGAUGCCCUGGCCAAUUACCCAACCCAGCAACCUUAGCUCCACACAACGGCUAAACGCGAACCCAUCCCUCCCAUCACCCUCGAGCUCCUCCUUCCUCUCUCCGUCAUCGAUCUCACUCCCUCACCUCCGUCCAUCUCCCGCUGCCGUCGCCGAAACGAGCUUCGAAGCCACCGUCGUUAUCGUGCAGCUCUGUUCCACCAUCGUGCAGCUACUCUUUCAGCUUUGAAAGCACUGUCGCGCAGCUCGGUUCCAUCGUCGCCGGGCUUGCCUCCUUUUUCCGUUGCGCAGCUCUGUUCCAUCGUCACCGGUGCUAUCUCUGUUCUACCUGCCAUCCCUUCGGUCGUGCCCUUGUCUCCCUCUUGCUUAGGAUCUGCUCUGCUCUGUUCUAGGGCUUCUAGCUUCUAGGUAUUUUUUUUUAUAACAAUUAUUGAAUAAUUGUUGUUAGUUAAUUUGUAAACUUGUUAUGGGUUGAAUAAUUGUUGAAUAAGUGUUAAUUAAUCUGUAAAUCUUACUGUUUUUACUGUGAAUUACUCCAUUGUUAAUGAUUCUGAUAAUUUAUCGAAGAAGGCUGUGUUUGAUGAGGAUGAGGAAGAUAAAUACAAGGAAAGGAAUUCGGGAAAUAGUUUGAAGAGAGAAGAGAGUGGCGGUGGAGGAAAGUCAACCUUGGAAGAAUUGAUAAGGGAAGAGGAGAAGAAAAAGGAGAAAAUCAACAGGAAGGACUAUUGGUUGCGUGAGGGAAUCAUUGUUAAGGUUAUGAGCAAGGCCUUGGCAGAGAAGGGGUACUACAAGCAAAAGGGUGUGGUGGAAUGAUACCUUGGAAACUUCAUGUCACCGAAAAACUCUUUCACAGUUGGUUAGCUCAUAAAGUAUGCUCUUCAUUCAUAUAGUACUACCUUCAACAGAAAAAUACUGAAGAAAUAUGAUAAGGUAUUGCAUUAUUUGUGUCCCUUUUUGCUUGUUAUGUUUGGACAAUUCGGGUGAAAAAUUAUUAUGAGGCGUGUUAAUUAAUUCUUUAAUCUGUAUAUGAUUAGUACUUAAUUAAUUCAAUUGUAUUUGUCACUGCAUGCAGGUUCAUUAUUCCAGGCAAGGACAAAUGUUCAAGUCAUAGGUCCAGAGUAUGCACAAGGAAAUUCUACAAAGUCCUUGGCUUUGUGAGCUUAUGGCCUUCCACAUCAAUCUGAGGGAAACUAAGGUCCAGUUUAGGAAGGCACAUGCUUUCUUUGAUGGAUGUUUUCUAACGUUUAAGGAUGAAAAACCAGCACUCACUUGUGAGCUACUUGAUUCCAUCAAAAUUGAUAUCGACUUGACUUGUUCUAUAUGCCUGGUAAGUUAACUCAUUAUUAGUUGUUGGGUGUAUUGGAACUAAAUUUUUGUGCUUUAUUCACAUACUAAGCAUCUUCAUUCAGAUUGCAGUCCCACUGUAGUUAUUUAUUUGUAGAUUACUGUUGCUUGGAUGCAGCCAUGCAAAUAGAUCUAAUCAAGUUAGGGAUUAUGUCAGAAUUUUAAACCCAAGGAAAAACUUUAGCUUUCACCAAAAUGUAGAAGAUACUACCUCAGAAUUCAUAAACUGUUUUCUGUAUGAUUGCAUACUGUUUUCUGUUUUUAGAACUUUGUGAAGAAAACUAGAAAAGAAUGAAAAUAAUAAAACUUUUUAGACUGGAAACAAAAAGUACUAUCAUUGAAAAGAAGUAAACAGACCCUUAAUAGUAUCUAAUAAUUUUUGAAUCUAUAGCUCUAAAGAAUUUAACUUUCAAUUUUGGAGUAGUGCUUACAGUGUAUCCUUUGUAACUCUAUUAAUAAGCUAAUGUUUGAAAUACUUGUACAGCUACCAAAAAUACUGGGAGGAAAGGGCUCAAUCAGAAAGGGUAGAGAGGCUUAAACAGAUAAAGGAACACUGGGAAUCGCAAUGCAGGUUAUUCGUAGGUGUCUAAGCAAAACGAGUCAAGAAGCCAUCUCAGAUUCUGCGGUCAAAGCUUAAAUGUGAAUACACAUUUGUUGAUAUAUGGUUUGUGUAUAACAUUCUGAAUCGUGUUUGGUAAAACCGCAUGUAAGCUGGUGUUAUUUCUCAAGAAGGG